UGAGAUCCACAAAAUUAUGUGUAUCCAUCAGCCGCCAACCCUCAUUUCCCAUUUCUUUAGGUGAAUCCAAACCACUGAUCCACCAUCACAUUGGCGCUCUAGCGAAUUCUUUUGUCCGUUUAUGUCAGAAUUCAGUGAAACAACCAACUAGAUCUUCUCUCCUCAAGUCACUCCUCCCUCACAGAUCUAUCACAACCCGACCAUCAAACUGAAAAUCCCUCACAGAUCUUUCCUUUCUGUCGUCACUCCUCCCACAUGUCGCGAACAUAGAUCUAGUCUUACUGAAAAUUCAUGGAUGUGAUCUCAUCGAAAGUCCAUUAAUCUCCGGAGAGAAUCUGAAUUUGCAUUUUGAGAAAUGGAACAAAAACUACUUUUUCGUUAAUUUCAGAGAUGACAGAGGUUGGUUUGCCGUGGUAAGGUGGAGAUGAUGAAGAAGAACAGAGAUUAGAAACUCACGCACCCGAUCUAGGAACUCUGGCCACUGGAUCGAUUUGAAAAUGGAUUCGAUAGUGAUGAUCGUAUAUCUCUAGAUUUCGUGUAUCUUUGUGAUUUUUAUGACUUCCAGUAUCCUUGUGUAUCUUUGUGAUCUGAAAACUUUGUGUAUCUUUAUGAUUUUUGAAAGUUUUAUCCACGCAUAAAUACACGUAGAUAUGUACAUAUUUUAAGGCCUAAAUACACAAUCCAAUCUAUGUAAUCUCAGAUACUUAACUAGCUACAUCAAACUUGUAUAUCAGAGGUACACAUGCCUAAAAUACACACCACACCUGUAUGUUUUAUACUCCUCUAUCCUAUUUUACUCUUUCCAAAUUUUCUAAUUUGAUUUUUCAUUUUAGUUGUCAUUUUUUAUUAAUCAAAAUAAGACGAUUUUUUUCUUUUUUUACCUUUAGUAUUAAUUAUUUUUUCUCCAAAUUAAGAUGUAAACAUUAUCUAAUAGGGGUACUAUGGUAAAAUAGUCAUGUUUUAAUUGUUUUUCUUAAUCAAUGUGCAAUGUCAAAUUAGGACGAGUAAAAUAGGACCGAGGAAGUAAUUUAUUUUAAAGUUAAUGGAGCUUUUAUAAUAGGUCUCUAUGUUUGUCUAUUUUGUUAAUUUCAAGGGAGUUGAACUUUAUCUGUAUACGUUAGAUACUCAGCUCCGGAAUAGAUUCAAAAACUGUGUACAUAUUGGCUAUAUGAUUCGAUUUCCAUUCACAGAAUCAUGUCCCAAACCAUUCAAGCUAUUUCUUUAACUCUAUCACCGACUGAGGUAAUUAGAAUUUUCUAGGUCUCACUCAAUGUUUUGGAUGAUUUUUUAGUCCAACAUGUUAGUAGAGUCAAUUCCAUAUUAAUUCUUGAUUUAUUCAUUGUUGGUUACUCCAUAUUAUAUUGUCAAAGUUUUAGUUGGCAGAUUUAGGUGUGCUGGAGAGGUUGGUUGUUAAUUAAGUUGCCUACUUUGGUGGUGAACGUGACUUAUUCUCUUAUGUUACUAUAUAAAUAGAUUUAUUUCUUUAUAUAAAGUUGGUUUUUUAAUAAACUAGCCUUUAAUGAUUUAUAUAAAUAUCAUGUCAAUGGUGAAAUCUGGAUCUAGUCAAUAGUAAAGUUAGAAAUCUUGCUAAAAGUAAUGAGGAUUUAAUAUAUAAAUAUAAAAAAUAAUAUUAUAUAUGUGGAGUAUAAUUUUUUGAGGAAGUGUUGAAUUGAUCACUCCUUGUUGGUUGUAACCUUGCCCAUGUCAUUGAUCCACAUUUAAUAUAAUUAAGACUAGAUAGAGAUGCAACUACCACGAAUUAACUAUUAAUGUAUAAAAUCCUUACAUGCAUGUAUGUUUCAGUAACAUUUUCUGUUUACAAGAAUAUAAUUUUACUUGUAUUUUCUUUGAAAUUCUUCCUCAUUUUCUUCACGUAUGAUCAUUUUCAAAACGAUAGAUGACAACUGCGAAUGAGCUAGAAAAACAAUGAUCAGUGAAUGCUAAGCAACUGUAGAAGGAUCAAAAUAUUUAUUUUACAGCAGAAGAGUAUUGGCUGAAUAAAAAAGGUUGUCCAAUUGAAACUGUUUCUAUUCGGCGAAUGACACAAGAACAACUCCAAGGAGCCAAAGAUGCCUCCCUAAGCUUUGCAAAUGAAUCUCUUGCUGGAAACAUCAUCGAUGUAACUACUUAUUUACUAAUGUCUUAAACAUUUGUUAGAAUUAUUAUUAACAGUCAACAAAUUCAAUUUUAAAUAGUUAUUCUAAUUAAUUUAUAUAGAACUACAUCAAUUUCCAGGAAUUAGCAUAAACACAUCUCCAGCAAUAAAUAAUUUUAGAUGUAUCUCAAUCAUUGUUACUUUGUAUAAUCGACAAGUAAAUAUGGAGAUGGCCAGUACAGUUCUGCAACAAUAUUUCUUCAAAGUAUAAAUACCACAAAUUUCGAGGAGAUACAAGCUAGAUGAAUUGUAAGUUAAUAUGCUUUUGUUAUAUAUUCAUGAAAAUUAACAUAUUUGAAUUUUUCUUAUUCAAAACAAUUGAUUUCAUGAUUUGAAAUUAAAAAACGAAAAUACUUAUCGGUGAGUAAGUGUUGCAAUUAUUUUCUGGCAUCCGAUUAUGUACUUUUUGAUAAUUUGAUUUCCUAAAAUACAAGAAGAAAUACUUUUAUUUCUAGAAGUGAUGUUUGUUUGGUCUAGGUACAUCCAAAAUUAUACGGUGAUGGACGGACUCGAUUGUACACCCAUUGGACUGUAAGUAUGUUAGGAAUUAAUCGAUAUAUCUCUUGAAAAAACAAAUAAAUUCAACGACAAAAAUCUUUACAAAAGCAUAUAGAGUAAUUUUUUAUUUUUUUUGUGAAUUAAAUAGGUAGAUGCCCACCAGAAAACUGGAUGUUACAACUAUAUUUGUCCAAGAUUUGUUCAACUUAGCAGUGAAAUACCAAUAGAUUAUGCUUUCCCAAAAGUCUCUAUAUCAGAAUCUGAUUUUGCAGAAUUGUAGAGUCAGAUCUACAAGGAUCAAGUUAACUUACUUGUUACCAUAUAUUUACAGAGUAUGAUGACCAACUAUUAUUACCAUACAUAUUCAUUAUAAUUAAAAUUUACCUUACAAUUUUACUUCCUAUGUCACUUUUUAGUUGUCAUAUUUUUCUUUUCUUUAUAAGGGUCAAAUAAUAUAAUUUUGAUCAACAUUUGAAAUGUAGUUUUUCAUCGUAUUGAUAUGAGAAAAAUUAUAAUUUAUAGUCUUUUUGUAUAAUUUUUGUAUAUCUAAAAUUUCAAUUUUAAAAUAUCAAAUUAAUAUAAUCCAAUUUAACUUUAGAAAUUAGUCAAAUUGACUCUAAAAAUUAAAACGUGACAACUAAAAAGGAAUGGAUGAAGUAUCACUUAAUUUUUUCGCUACAGAAGGUACUCCCACCAUUCCAUUUUACUUAUCACAAUUUGACUUGACACAUUGAUUAAGAAAAAUAAUUAUAACAUGACUACUUUAUCAUAGUAACCCCAUUAAAUAAUGUUUACAUUUUAAUUAGAAAAAUUGGAGUGAAUUCCUCAUAUUGUCAUUGAAUAAUUGACAAUAUCCCACAAAAGUCAUUUGUUUUUUUAAUGACAAAAACAUCACUGAACUAUUACUUUAUCCAUAUAUUGUCAUCCUAACAUUUUAAGCUACUAAACUCACUUAAUUAAGUUUAAAUUUAAUGACAAAUUCAUUAAAUUAUACCAUUUAAUACAUAACAAAAAAUAAUUUUGAUAUAAAAGCAAUAAAAUCCACCAAAAUAAAAUAGAUUUUAAAUAAAAAUAAAUUAUACAUGGUGAAAAUAAUUUUAGUUUUUUUUUAAAACAUGAGAUUAUAUAGGACCAUUUUUUUUAAAAUUUUUAAGGGUCACUCUCUCCAUUUAAUAUUAUUUAUUUAUUUUUCAUGCGUCUCAUAAAAAAUCAUAAAUAAGAAGGAUAAUUUACUAAUUUACCUUAGAAUUUUUUAUUAGAUUCUAUUAGUGUCUUAUAAAUAAUAAAAUUAACAAUAUAAGAACUUUUUUGGAACUUUAUUAUAUUUAUACUUUCAAAAAAAAUUAAUAUAAAGAUAAGUAAUAAUUUAAUUUUUGUCUUAUAAACUAACAAAUAGCUUAGAAUAUAUGGGACAAAAAAAUUAGAUAAUACUCCCCCAUUCUUAAAUAAGUGAACAAAGGAAAAAUAUAAACUAGGAUAAUUUAAUAUAUAUGUUUUUAAAAAUUUAUUGAAUGUAUAUAUAUUAAUAAUAUAGAACUCAUUAAUUCAAAAAAAAAAUAAAAUUAAAAUUCAGAAUUCAUGAACUUCAAACUGCGACACCAUAAUGAAACAUGUAAAGAAAAAAAUCUAUAAAUAAUAUGAAAUGGAGAGAGUGUCCACUUUUCAUUUAAAUGUUCCUAUAAAAUCUCAUGUGUUUUUUUUAAAAAAACAUGUCAAUAUGUUUAAAAAAAGAAAAAAAAAUCUCAAUAUGUCUAAUUUUUGUUUAUUUAAAAUAUAUAUUCAUUUUGAUGAAUUUUUGCUUUCAUAUUUUACUCAUUUUUUGUUAUGUAUUUGGGUGGCAUAGUUUAAUGAAUUUUUUUAUUUAUAUUUAAACUUAAUUAAGUGAGUUUAGUAGCUUAAAAUAUUAGGAUGAUAAUCUAAGAGAUAAAUUAAUAGUUUAGUGAUAUUUUUGUCAUUAAAAAAAUAAAAAUAAUUUUUGUGGGAUAUUGUCAAUAGUUCAAUGGCAAUAUGAGGAAUUCACUCGGAUAUUUGUGACAAAUAAAAAUGACAAUUAAAAGUAAAAAUACAAUUACGAAAUUUGUGACAAGUAAAAUAAAACGAAGGAGUAUACAGAAAAGUAAAGGAGAUGGUUCUGAGUAGUAAUUUAAGGUAUAAUAUGUUAACUUAUACAUGCAAUAGCAAGUUCCCAAAGUUUUAGCAAUUUUUUAAAAAUGAACUCUAACUUUCCUAUUUAAUUCUCUCUCGACUUCACGGAGUGUACUUAAGGAAUAAUUCCCUUCACUGUACCGGAGGUUAUGUAAUUUUCCUCCCAGGAUAAAAUGGCUUUAAAUCAAACAAUAGCGGUAUCUCAAAUUGUCGGAUUCGUCGAACUCAAUCAACAACUAAUGAUCACAACAAGUUUUUAAAAAUAUGAAGAGUGUUUUUGCUAUCAAAAACUAUGUUAAGUCUGGGCCUGAUCUGCGGCCGCUGGUGACACUAUCCGAAUUCCAAUGUUUUUGCAUCAAGUUUCAAAUAAAUUUUGCCUAAAAAAUAGAUCUCAUCAAUCAUUUGAUAAAUCCAAAUCCAAAGCCGCUUCUGCAGUGCAUCUAUGUCCGCAGGUUAUUGAAGUGCGCGUGCAGAUCGCCCAACAGUGCGCAAUCAGAUUCUUUGGAUCAAGGUUUCACUUGUUCAUCAAGUUUCAAAUAAAUUUUGUCUAAAAAUAGAUCUCAUCAAUCAUUUAACAAAUCCAAAUUCGAAGGUAAGCAAGUGACAAUGAUGACGGCACAAGGUACCACUUCGUUCUUGCCUCACUAUCCAAGUGGAGUAAGUGUUCCUUAUUAUAAACACUUAAAAGUUCCCUUCUCCCACCAAUGUGGGAUAAUUAGUGAACUUUCCAUUAAAAGAGUACACUUUCCAUUUUAGUGACUAUAUUUUUCUUCACUGUUUUUCCCUCCAUUUUUCAUCCAUUCAUACAGCUUGAACCUAACAGCCACAUCAUAUUAGUUCUUGCAAAUUCAUGGUAUUGUAGGUCUUUUUCAGAUAUCAUUUUCUUCAUUCAUUCUGAAUUCAAAUUAAAGCAAUUGAGGGAUUUAAUAGUUUCUGAAACUUAUAUAUUUGAUUGCACAUGAAAAGAUUUCUAAGUGGUUCGAUGUGUCUUAGGAGUAGACUCCACUUUACUAUUUGCAUAUACAUGGAUAGAAACAAAAUCUACUAUGAAGAAAACACCUGUCACCUGCUAUAGCAUACGUCUAAAAAGUUAGCAAGAGCUUUAAAACUUGUAUAGUAGACUAGAGAAAAACUGAUAGUGAACAUGUUUUUCAACUAAUAAAAGAAGCUAAUAUUUAUAGCCGAAACAUCAUAAAGAACACUCUAUUUCACUAUAGUAGUAGAUGUUUUUCUCAACGAAAUGCAUUCCAAUUAUCAAAGUUAAAACAAAAAGAAUGUCUAGAAACUAACUCUUAAUGAUAUUACUGUUGAAAAAUCUCGUCAACUAAUUCUCCCUCGGUUUGUUCAUUUUUCAAACCCUUUGCCUUGAUUUCAUCGACUUCUUUCAUUUUCUCAUGGACAAAAUCAAGUAUAUUGCUCAUAGCAGUCUUGACCCCUUCAUUUCUCAGUAAUUGCUCACCGACUGCAGCAGGAGUCACCAUUGCCUCAUUUAAAACAUCGAAGAUUUUAGGGAAAAGAGGAUGAUCCUCAAUUUCAAUAGAUAAUUUGAAACUAAUGUCUGGAAAGUGUAAGGUAUGCAAUAAGACAUGUGGAUGUGCACGUCCAUUCAGCCUGGCCUUAAUAAGGCAGGAUCUAAUAUGUCUUUGUGAUUUGUUUUGAAUACUAUUAUCCUUUCAUUUCCAUGGCUUGACACAACCCAUCUAUGAAGUUUAGCAGCCCUGAUAAUGUAACCUAACAACAUUCCACAAAGAACAAAAUUAAUAAAAACACGUAAGUUUUGUGCACUGACUAUAUAUAUACCUACUAAAAGAUGUCUUUGAGAAAAGUAAACUUAAAUUACCUCCUGAGCUUUUGGCUUCCUAACAAUAUUUAUAGUUUGUGCUUGGGUUAUAUAAGGUUUGAGUGACUUCAAAGUCUGUUCUUCUGCUUUUCGGUCUUUAAUCACUACUAAAAAAACAGAAAAAUCGACCACAAAAAUCGAUCACAUGUGGUCGAUUUUCCUGAAUUUUCGAUCACAAAAUCGAUCAAAAUGCGUGGUUGGUAAAAGUGUGGUAACUUUUUAAAAAUCGACCACGUGCGGUCAUUUUUUUUUGAAAUAUAUAUUUUUAAAAUUCAUUAUUAUUUUAUUAAAAUAGAAAAAAAUAAUUUUAAAAAUAAAAAAAUUUAAAAUAAACCGACGAUAAGUGGUCAGUUUUAUUUUAAAAUUAAUUAAUUAUUUUUUUUAAAACCGACCACUUGUGGUUGGGUUUUUGUAAAAUUUCCAGAAAAAUCGACCACAUGUGGUCGAUUUUCUGUAAUUUUUUUUUUAAAAAACGACAUGUGGUUGAUUUUUUCUGAAAAAUCUUUUUAAAAAAUAAAAAGCAACAAAUGAAACAACAUAUAAUACAACAAAAACAAUAACAACAAACCAAGUGUAUUCCCACACAACAUACAAAAUUCUACUACAACACAUACAAAAUGUCCAACAAAAGUAUAAAAGUGUAAAAACUACAACAAAACAUAAAAAAAGUGUAAAAAGUACAACAAAAUGUCCAAACCCAAACUACAACACAUACAAAAUUCAAAAAAUUAUCACUAAUCUUCAUCGUCAUCAUCUUCGUCUUUCGCAUCCUUAUCUGUGCUGAUAUCAUCCAGUAGUCCUAGACCUUUUGCAUCCCGAACUGCAUCACCAGGACUUGGAGGAAUAAUCCAUGCAGACUGAAUAAAAGAGCUGAACUGCUCCUGCAGCAUCCUGAUUUGUGAUACUAUUUUCUCCUCCUUCUUCUGCGCCCUUUCUCUGUUCAGCAAGCUCUUCAGUGAGUUUAGAAACCAUAUUUUUUUGGUGAUUCAAUGGUUUCUCUAUCAACUAAAGAGGUAUAGGAUGUAGGACCGGACGAAGACCUAACAUUCUUGCAAAAAUAAUUUCUGUGGUAUCCGUAGUAAUGGCCUCUAACUGCAGUACCCACAGUUUGUUCCCAUAACUCCUCCUCUACAUGAUGGGGUAUUGGGUCACCCUGACUUUCAAGAGGCUGACUACUACGAAACUCACUAAGGAACUACAUAUAUUUGUCCUAUAUUUAAAGUAAAGUUAAAAUUAAUAGUCAAAAAAUAUUAAAGUACUUAUACUUGAAUCACAUCAACUUUGAGAAACAGAUUCAUAAAUUUAAAAUUUGAUUUUUACAUGGGCAGCUUUUGCACAACCUUAUCUGGUAAUAUUUGUUUAUGACGAGUGCAGGGAUUCUCUUAGAAGACCUCUGUGGAAUCAAAUAGUCCAACUGUCUGCAAUAUCUUUACCAUGGUGCACGAUUGGUGACUUCAAUGUAAUUACUAAAGUAGAUGAAAAAUUGGGAGGGAUCCCUUAUGACAUGAGGAAGAGCUUAGAAUUCUUAGGGGUGAUUGAGGUUUGUAGAUUAACUGAUCUGGACUUUCAAGGCCCCAGACGUACUUGGUCCAUUCUAAGGGCCAUUCAUUCUAGAAUAUGGAAAAGAUUAGUGUAAUACCCGUGCUUAUUUCUAGCUAGAAAUCAUCUCAAGGAUGCUAGUACUUACUUUGAAAUACAAAUAUAUUUUUUUGUACCCGUGGUAUUUUUGAGAUUUCAACUUUCUAUCACGUGAGAAAUUGAGUUAGCGUUCUAACGAUACCAAUUUUGUCCAAAUCCAAUACCAGACGAGGAAGUUAUGGAUGCUUUACUCAGAACUGACCAAAAUGCCCAGGUGCAACGUCCAAGUUGACGGACCACCAAACAAGUGAUGGACCGCCACUUUGACCAUCACAGCCAAGGCAGUAGGGCCACGUUCUGGAUAAGGAUUGAUGGACGAGUUGACGAACCAUCAUCCAGGCCGUCAACUCUAAUCCAGUGAACCCCAUUUUUAGUCCACGUAUGAUGGUCGAAAUGACGAACCAUUACGUUUCUGACGAACCGUCAGUCAGGUCGUCAUACGCCAUGUUCAAUUUAUUUCCAGGCCUUUUUAACAGGGGUAUUUUGGUCACUUACCACUCGCCUAUAUAUACCUAGAUGAGUCCAAAUUCAACCAUUUGCUCAACUAGGGUUUCUCUCUAAAUUUAAUCUCCAAGAACAAGACCCAAUCUUCUUCUUCUUAAAAAAAAGGAUUUCAAAUCCUUCAAGUUCAAAAACAUAAAGAACCUUGAGUCAGGUAUGCGUAGUUUUCAUCUAUGGAUCCAUUUCGUUCAUAGAGCUCAAGACCCAUGUUUUAAAUAUUAUUUUGUGAUUAUAUUGUUGUUAUAUGAGCAUGUACAUGUUGAUGAUUGUUGUUUAAGUUUUAAAAUGAUAUCUAAAGGUGUUUUCAUGAAGUAUAUGUAUUUAUUAGUUGAAAUCCAUGAUCUUUGUGUGGCUUAAUAUGACAAAAUUCAUAAACACUCUUAAGCUAAAAGAAUUCAUGCAAAGUGUUUGAUAAUAUGCCUAGGAUGAUAGAAUUCAUGUCCCAUGAUUUAAUAGUUCUUAAAUGACAAGUCCAUGCUCUAUGCUUUACGAUUUCCCAUGAAUUCGUUGUUGUUGUGAUAUGGAUUGACCAUGAUAUUGAAGCUAUGCAAGUAUAUACAUGUUGUAUGAAUUUUCUUUCCAUGUAUAAGAUGUUGAGAACUAUGCUUAGUGUGAAAUCCGCUACUUAUGAUAUUGUAAAUUGUGGACUCUACUCAUACAAUCAAGUCAGUCAUGUGUGUCAGUUCCUUCCAUCGAGUCCUGGGGGUACUUGUACCCAAAAGAAUCUAGUUAUGUGCCUAAAGCCAUGUCAUGUUAUCAGGAUAAUCUCAGUCAAGCCAUGAUCUAUAGAACUUAGUCAGUCAUGUGACUCAGGAAACCUCAGAAAUCUCAUGAUCUCAGUUAAUUCUCAGAUAGUAGUACUAUUCCGUCAGUCAACGAAAGUCAGUUACUCAGUCCAUGUACCGUCAGUUAAAUCAUGUUCAGUCUCUUUAGAUGGGAGUAGAAGUUAGCACUGAGUGAACCCAAGGAUGGGAACUCACCUACUAGUUUAGGGUAUGAUUCAUAGUAAUCAUCCUUGUGUUUCAGAACUAUGUAGCCAGCGUAGGUUGAGACAUCUUAACCUGCCAUAUUAGUGUUGAUGAGGUGGAUUAAUCUUUCAGUUUAGGGUUCCCACUGUUCUAAUUUUGAGUACCUGCCAGCUAAGGGUCACUCAUAACUGUCCUUACCAGUGGCACGGUAUUGAAAACCCUUCUAGUCGGGGAAGAGAUUAAACCCUAACUUAGCUAUAUGUAUUAUUAGGGCAUGUCGGUCAAACAACUACCUCCCAUAGUUUCAGUCUCAGUCUCAGCAAAAAAACUCAGAUAGUUCUUCAGAUUUCAGUAUUUCAGGACUGUCAGAUACAGUCAAUUCAAUUAUAGUACGAAACUUAGGUAGUUCUAUUAGAUUCAGGACUCUCAGACAUAGCCACCCAUGUUAUCAUGAUUCAAUUAUUAUUUAUGUUAGAUAUCAAUAAACCAGGUAUUAGCUUACAGAUCUAAUUAUCACGUAUUCACGAUUCCAGUUACUAUGUAUGCAUAUUUACACUCUUACGUUCAUAUCAGUCAGUCAGUUUGCAUCGUUCAUGCAUGUAAACCCAUUUUCAUUUAGCCUACCUCACUCGUAUACUCAGUACUCCCAGUUGUACUGACGCAUUUGUGCUAUGGUGCUUUCAUUCACCUUACACCAUAGGUUUACAGAUAUGAGCUCCAGAUCAAUAGUAGCAGUAGUAUUCCAGUCACAAAGUUGCAGUGAGUCCUCAUCUAUUCGAGGAUGAUAUUAUUUAUUUUAUUUAUUAGUUCAGUUCAGUUUUGCUAGAUGGAGUUAGUUGAAGACAUGUUCCUUCAAUUCCUUAUUCAAACAGUAUUUAGAGGCUUUCAGAUUUAGUUCAAAUUUGAUUCAAAUUUUAGUUGUUUUGGGUAUUCGUUACCCCAUAUGGAUGUUAUGAUUUGUCAGAUAUUCUAUGCAGUUGAACCUUAUGGCCUAUUAUUCAUAUUUUCUGCAUUAUUAUGUCAUAUAUUACAGUUUAUAGGUACAGAUAUCAGUCAUGGGUUAGCUUGUGGUCCUUUGGGCUCUUAAGCACCAUGUAGCAUUCUGUUUUAGAAAAUUGGGGUGUUACAAACUUGGUGUCAGAUCCUAAGGUUCAAUAGAGUCCUAGGAAGUCUAAAAGCUGCAUCUAGUAGAGUCUUGUGCAUGGUUGUGUUGCGCACCAUAUUUAUGUGCAAGAGGCUAUAAGAUGUUUUAGGAACAGUUUCCCUUCUUUUGGUAUUCAUAUUGUGCUAGUGAGUAUAAUCUCAAUUUAAACUCUCAGUCUAAUCUGUUCUUCUCUUAUUUUAGAAUAUGCCUCCAAAGAGAAGAAACCAGCUAGCUUCUCAGCCCAAAGAUCCUUUGGGCAAACAUGUUUCUCAUGCAGAGUUUAGGGCCGUAUUCACCACGCUUGCUCAGUCUGUGGCUGCCCAAAAUGAGCUGCCACCAGUUAUUUCCGCCAAUCCAGUAGCUAACUCAGCCGCAGCUAGGAUUUUGUACUUCAUCUGAAUGAACCCUCCAUCUUUAUUUAGUUUUAAGUCUGGUGAAGACCCUCAGGAAUUCAUUGACCAAGUUCAGAAGGUCAUAGAUAUCAUGGGAGUUACUUCUUGUCAUAGUGCCGAGUUAGUCGUAUACCAGUUAUAGGAUGUCGCUCAUACUUGGUACAAACAGUGAAAGUCUGAGAGGUUAGAAGAUGUAGGUCCUAUAGAGUGGGAGGAAUUUGUCAUGACUUUUUAAGACAAAUUCUUUCCCCAAGAGUUGAGAGAGGCAAAAGUUCUAGAGUUCAUCAACCUUAGCCAGGGAAAUAUGAUGGUUAAGGAUUAUUCUCUCAGAUUUACUUAGCUAGCUAGAUAUGCCCCUCAUGUGGUUGCAGACAACAUGGCUAAGAUGAGCAAGUUCAUGUUAGGGGUGAAUGAUAGCAUAGUAAAUGAGUAUAGGUCUGCGAUACUGAACAAUGAUAUGACUUUAGCCAGGCUCAUGACUCAUGCUCAACAAAAAGAGGAGCAAAAGAUUAAGACUAGGGAGAGACAGAAUAAGAGAGCAAGGUCAGCAGUUUCAGUUUUGCUCGACCAAAAUCAGAAGGAAGAAACCAUUCGUAGUUUUGUCCUAAGCCAGCAAUUCCAGCUCCUUUCUCCGCCAGUGUCCCAGUUCCAAAAUUUAGACAUGGCAACAUAGAUCGAGCACCAGGCUCUAAGUCUCAGGGAAGUAUCAGCAGUGCCCGAACUAAUCGCCUAUGUCAGACUUGUGGUAUGAACCACAAGGGUACAUAUAGAGAUGGUAGCGAUGUUUGUUUUAGUUGUGGCAAGCCAUGCCACAGGACUAAAGAGUGUUCAUAGUCAGGUCUAUAGGGUCAGAAGAAUUGCUCCACAGCCCAGUUCGGUCGCCCAAAUUAGUAGAGUACCACUUCUAGUGCUACUAGUGGGCAAUGGCUAAAAAGACUCUAUGCUCUUCAGACCCGACAGGAUCAGGAAAAUUCUCCUGAUAUCAUUACUGGUACAUUACAGAUUUUCUAUGUUCAUGUUUAUGCUUUGCUAGAUCCAGGUGCAUCCUUGUCUUUUGUUAUUCUUAUAUAGCAGGCGAUUUUUGAAUCAGUCCUAAAAUUUUAGCAAAGCCCUUUUCAGUCUCUACCCUAGGGGGUAAAACCAUCAUAGCUCAGCGAGUAUAUAGAAACUGCCCAGUUAUGAUAUUUCAAAAAGCCAUGUCAGAAUAUUUAGUCGAGUUAGAGAUGACUGAUUUUGAUGUCAUUCUCGGCAUGGACUGGCUUCAUUCCUGCUAUGCCACAGUCGACUGCAGAACCAGGGUAGUUCAGUUUCAGUUCCCGAAUGAGCCCAUCCUAUAAUGGAAGGUUAGAACUUCAUCUUUCAGGGGUCAGCUUAUUUCUUACCUUCGGGCAAGGAAAAUGAUUUUUAAGGGGUAUGUGUAUUAUCUCGUGCGUGUUAAAGAUUCCAGUUCUGAAUCUCCUAGUUUUGAAUCACUCACAGUCUUAAAUAAGUAUUCAAACGUAUUUCCCGAAGAUCUUCCAGGCAUUCCUCCCAAAAGGGAAAUAGACUUCGGCAUUGAUCUUCUUUCAGAUACUCAACCUAUUUAUAUUCCGCCAUACAGAAUGGCACUAGCAAAACUUAAAGAAUUGAAAGAUCAGUUGAAGGAUCUCUUAGAUAAUGGAUUCAUCAGGCCUAGUGUAUCUCCAUGGGGUGCACUAGUCUUAUUCGUGCGCAAGAAAGAUGGUUCUCUCAGGACGUGUAUUGAUUACCAUCAGCUCACCAAAAUUACGAUCGAGAACAAGUAUCCUCUUUCUAGGAUAGAUGACUUGUUUGACUAACUUUAGGGUGCCAGUUAUUUCUCCAAGAUAACCUCAGAUCAGGCUACCAUCAGCUCAGAGUUAUAUAAUGUGACUCGGUAUGGUCACUUCUAGUUUUUAGUUAUGUCCUUUGGUCUUACCAAUGCCCCAGCCACUUUUAUGGACUUGAUGAACCGGGUGUUCAAACAGUACUUGGACAUGUUCGUCAUAGUCUUCAUAGAUGAUAUUCCGGUCUAUUCCCGCACUGAAUGUGGUCAUUUAGACCAUCUCAGAAUUGUUCUUCAGACUCUCAGAGAUCACCAACUAUUCGCAAAAUUCAGUAAGUGCGGGUUUUGGCUAAGAUCAGUAGCAUUCCUUAGCCAUAUUAUUUCCGGUGAUGGCAUUAGAGUAGAUCCUCAGAAGACUGAAGUGGUAAGAAACUGGCCUCGCCCUAUCUCUCCAUCAAAUAUUAGGCAUUUCUUGGGAUUGGCUAGCUAUUACAGAUGGUUUGUUGAGGGAUUUUCUUUUAUUGCAUCCCCUAUGUCCAGAUUGACUCAGAAGAAGGUCAAGUUUCAGUGGUCAGAUCCUUGUGAGAAGAGUUAUCAAGAGUUGAAGACUCGACUCUCCUCAGCUCUAGUUUUAGCUCUUCCAGAUGGUUCAGACGGUUUCAUAGUCUAUUGUGAUGCAUCCAGAGUGGGUCUAGGUUGUGUCCUCAUGCAGCAUGGUAAGGUAAUAGAUUAUUCCUCCAGACAGUUAAAGUCCCAUGAGAAGAAUUAUCCUACUCAUGAUCUUGAGUUAGCAGCCAUAGUAUUUGCCUUGAAGAUUUGGAGGCAUUAUCUAUACGGAGUUUAUGUAGAUGUCUUCACAGAUCAUAAGAGCCUCCAGUAUGUCUUUUCUCAGAAAGAUCUCAAUCUUUGUCUGAGAAGAUGGUUAGAGAUUUUGAAAGAUUAUCACAUGAGUGUCCUUUAUCAUUCGAGCAAGGCUAACAUUAUGGACGAUGCUCUCAGUAGACUCUCAAUGGGUAGUGUUUAUCACGUUGAGGAUAGAAAAAAAAAGAUGACUCAGGAAAUCCAUCAACUCGCCAGACUAGGUGUUCGCUUCGUCGAUUCUUCGAAGGAUGGUGUGUGUGUGUUCAGAGUAGUUCAGAGUCAUCUUUAGUUUCUGAGGUUAAAGAAAAGCAAGACAGGGAUCCUAUACUUGUCAAGUUAAAAGAUUCAGUUCAGAAUUAGAGAGUAGAGGUUUUCUCCCAAGGGGGAGAUGGGGUUCUUCAUUGUCAGGGUCGUCUAUGUGUUCCAAGUGUAAAUGACUUAAAGUAGUGAAUUCUUACAGAAGUGCAUGGUGCGCAAUACUCUAUUCAUCAAGGGGCUACUAAGAUGUACUGCGACCUGCGGGAAAUCUAUUGGAGUGGGAUAAAGAGAGAUAUUGCAGAGUUUGCGGCUAAGUGCUCUAAUGUCAACAAGUUAAGAUAGAGUAUCAGAAGCCUAGUGGACCCAUGGGGGAGUUCACCAUUCCUACUUGGAAGUGGGAAAAAGUGAACAUAGACUUCGUGAUAGGUUUGCCUCGAACUCAUCAUCAACAAAUUCAGUUUGGGUUAUAGUAGACAGGAUGACCAAGUUAGCUCAUUUCCUUCCAGUUCAUACCUCUUAUUCAGUCGAGGAUUACUCUAAACUCUAUAUCAGGGAGUUGGUCAGAUUACAUGGUGUUCCAUUAUCUAUUAUUUCAAAAAGAGGUACUUAGUUUACCUCUCAUUUCUAGAAGGCAUUCUAAAAGGGUCUUGGUACUCAAGUCCAUCUCAGUACAACCUUUCAUCAUCAGAUAGAUGAUCAAGCAGAAAGGACCAUUCAGACUCUUGAAGAUAUGCUAAGGGCGUGUGCAAUUGAUUUCAAAGAAAGUUGGGAUGACCACUUGCCUUUGAUUGAGUUUGCAUACAACAAUAGCUAUCAUUCUAGUACUAAAAUGGCUAUAUCUGAAUCUCUCUAUGGCAAGAGGUGUAGAUCUUUAAUUGAUUGGUUUGAAGUUAGAAAGGCCUCAGUCAUAGGUCCUGACUUGGUUUUCGAUGCCUUAGAGAAAGUUUAAUUGAUCAGAGAGAGACUCUGGGCAGCUCAGAGCCAACAGAAGUCUUAUCCUGAUGUUCGUAGAAAGGAUAUCGAGUUAGAGGUCGGUGACUAUGUCUAUCUCAAAAUCUCUCCCAUGAAGGGAGUGAAGAGGUUUGUCAAGAAAGGGAAACUUAGUCCCCGCUAUGUCAUUCCCUUCAGGAUUCUCAGUGUUUAGUCAAGGUAGCUUAUGAGCUCGAAUUGCCUUCAGAUUUAGCCUCAGCUCAUCCGGUCUUCCAUGUAUCCUUGCUCAAGAAGUGUGUAGGUGACCCAGGAGUUGUAGUCCCUAGGCAAGGUAGCUUAUGAGCUCGAAUUGCCUUCAGAUUUAGCCUCAGCUCAUCCGGUCUUCCAUGUAUCCUUGCUCAAGAAGUGUGUAGGUGACCCAGGAGUUGUAGUCCCUAGUCAGAGCAUUGAUGUUCAGAAUAGUCUCUCUUAUGAAGAGAUUCCAGUCGAAAUCUUAGACUAUUAGACUCGUCGAUUGAGUAACAAAGAGGUCCCUCUAGUUAAGGUUCUUUGGUGAAAUUAGUCCAUCGAGGGAGCUACUUGGGAAGCAGAAGUAGAUAUGCGUACCAAGUAUCAGAUCAAGCUUAAGGUAAUAGUUUGCCUUAAGUUUAUUUAGUUUCAUAUUCAUGUCCUUAUUAUAAAUGUUGAAUCUGCUACCAUUUUAUACUCUAUCAUGCAUUCAUGUAUUAGUUCAGUUAUAAAAUCAUGCAUUCUCGUCUGGAGAAACUUAGUUUAUCAGAACACUCAGUCACACAUUCAUGUAUCAGUUAGCCAUGCAUCAGAUAUGCAUGAGUUCAGUAUAUUUAGCAUAUCAGUCAAGAAGUCAUGUCUCAGUCAAGCAUGUUCAGUUCAUGUUCAUUUAUUAUUUUCCCUUAGUCAGUCUCAUUCGAGGACAAAUGUUCUCAAGGGGGGAUAUUGUAAUACCCGUGCUUAUUCCUAGCUAGAAAUCAUCUCAAGGAUGCUAGUACUUGCUUUGAAAUACAAAUAUAUUUUUUUGUACCCAUGGUAUUUUUGAGAUUUCAACUUUCUAUCAUGUGGGAAAUUGAGUUAGCUUUCUAACAAUACCAAUUUUGUCCAAAUCCGUCACUAGACGAGGAAGUUAUGGAUGCUUUACUCAGAACUGACCGAAAUACCCAGGUGCGACGUCCAAGUUGACGGACCACCAGACAAGUGACAGACCGCCACUUUGACUAUCACAGCCAAGGCAGUAGGGCCAUGUUCUAGAUAAGGAUUGACGGAUGAGUUGACAGACCGUUAGAUUUUUGACUGACCGUUAUCCAGGCCGUCAACUCUUAUCAAGUGAACCCCAUUUCUUCUCCACGUAUAAUGGUUGAAAUAACGGACCAUCAAGUUUCUGAUGGACCGUCAGUCGGGUCGUCACAUACCACAUUCAGUUUAUCUCCAGGCUAUUUUAAUAGGGGUAUUUUGGUCACUUACUACUAGCCUAUAUAUACCCAGAUGAGUCCAAAUUUAGCCAUUUUGCUCAUUAUUAUUUCACAAACAAAAACUAGGGUUUCUCUCUAAAUUUAAUCUCCAAUAACAAGACUCAAUCUUCUUCAGAAAAAAAAGAUUUCAAAUCCUUCAAGAAAGAACCUUGAGUCAGGUAUGCGUAGUGUUCAUCUAUGGAUCCAUUUCAUUCAUAAAGCUCAAAACCCAUGUUUUAAAUAUUAUUUUGUGAUUGUCUUGUUGUGAUAUGAGCAUGUACAUGUUGAUGAUUGUUGUUUAAGUUUCAAGAUGAUAUCUAAAGGUGUUUUCAUAAAGUAUAUGUGUUUGUUAGUUGAAACCCAUAAUCUUUGUGUGGCUUAAUAUGGUGAAAUUCAUGAACACACUUAAGCUAAAAGAAUUCAUGUAAAGUGUUUGAUAAUAUGCCUAGGAUGAUAGAAUUUAUGUCCUAUGAUUUAAUAGUGCUUAAAUGACAAGUCCAUGCUCUAUGCUUUACUACUUCCCAUGAAUUCCAUGUGAGUGAUAUGCGUUCUUGUUGUGAUAUGGAUUGACCAUGAUAUUGAAGCUAUGCAAGUUUAUACAUGUUGUAUGAAUUUUCCUUCCAUGUAUAAGAUGUUGAGAACUAUGCUUAGUGUGAAAUCCCUUAUUUAUGAUAUUGUAAAUUGUGGGCUCUACUCUUACAAUCAAGUCAGUCAUGUGUGUCAGUUUUUUCCAUCGAGUCCUGGGGGUACUUGUAUCUGAAAAAAAAUAUAGCGGUGUGCCUAGAGCCAUGUCAUGUUAUCAUGAUAAUCUCAGUCAAGCCAUGAUCUAUAGAACUCAGUUGGUCAUGCGACUCAGAAAACCUCAGAAAUCUCAUGAUCUCAGUUAAUUCUCAGAUAGUAGUACUAUUCCAUCAGUCAACGAAAGUCAGUUACUUAGUCCAUGUACUAUAAGUUAAAUCACGUUCAGUCUCUUCAGAUGGGAGUAGAAGUUAGCACUGAGUGAACCCAAGGAUUGGAACUCACCUGCCAGUUUAGGGUAUGAUUCUUAGUAAUCAUCCUUGUGUUCCAGAACUACGUAGCCAGGUAGGUUGAGACAUCUUAACCUGUCAGAUUAAGGUUGAUGAGGUGUCUUAAUCUGUCAGUUUAGGGUUCCCACCAUUCUAAUUUUGAGUACCUUCUAGCUAAAGGUCACUCACAGUUGUUCUUACCAGUGGCGCGGUAUUGACACCCUUCCAGUCGGGCCAGAGAUUGGACCCCAACAUAGCUAUAUGUGUUGUUGGGACAUGUUAGUCAAACAACUACCUCCCAUAGUUUCAGUCUCAAUCUUAGCAAAAGAACUCAAAUAGUUCUUCAGAUUUUAGUAUUUUAGGAAUAUCAGAUACAGUCAAUUCAGUUACAGUACCAAACUCAGGUAGUUCCAUCAGAUUUAGGACUUUCAGAAACAACCACCUAUGUUAUCAUGAUUCCAGUAUUAUUCAUGUUAGAUAUCAGUAAACCAUGUAUUAAUGUAUAAAUCUAAUUAUCAUGUAUUCACGAUUCCAGUUACUAUGUAUGCAUAUUUGCACUCUUACGUUCAUACCAGUCAGUCAGUUCUCACCGCUCAUGUAUGUUAACCCUUUUACAUUUAGCCUUCCUCACUCGUAUACUCAGUAAUCCUAAUUGUACUGACGCAUUUGCACUAUGGUGCUUUCUUUCAUGUUACACCAUAGGUUUACAGAUACAAGCUACAGAUCAGCAGUAGCAGUAGCAUUCCAGUCGCAGAGUUGCAGUGAGUCCUCAUCUAUUCGAGGACGAUAUUAUUUAUUUCAUUUAUUAUUUCAGUUCAAUUUUGAUAGACGGUCAACUCUUUAUUCAGACAGUAUUUAGAGGCUUUUAGAUUUGAUUCAGAUUUUAGUUAUUUUGGGUAUUUGUUACCCCAUAUGGAUGUUAUGAUUUGUCAGAUAUUCUAUGUUGUUGAACCUUAUGGUCUAUUGUUCAUGUUUUUCGCAUUAUUAUAUCAUAUAUUGCAUUGUAUAGGUACAGAUAUCAUUCAUGGGUUAGCUUGUGGUCCUUCAGGGUCAUAAGCACCGUAUAGCAUUCUGGUUUAGAAAAUCGGAGCAUUACAAUUAAACAGGGCAAUGGUUUCAGAUGCCUCACUGGAAAAAAUGCCAAUAACUAACAUCACUCAUCUGUCUUCUGUAGGAUCUGAUUAUUGUCUACUACUUAUGGAGAUGCAGGAAAGGGUUGAAGCACAUAUAAAGUAUUUCAAAUUUCUGGUCUGCUAGGUUGAGAAUCCCAUAUUUAUUAAUACUAUGGAGACAUGCUGGCAGAAACCUUGUGAUGGAACACCUAUGUGGAAAUUCCAACUGAAGUUAAAAAGACUAACCUCUACUUUAAGUCUCUGGUCUAAAGAAGAAUUUGGUGAUAUUUAUGCUAAUGUGAAAGAAUAUGAAAAGAAGGUCAGAAUAGCUGAGUAAAAUUUGAUCUCAAAUGGCACAGAUAUAAAUAGACGGGAGUUUCACAGAUUACAAGCUGAAUACAUUAGAUAUCUCAAGGUGGAAAGUGCUAUCCUAAGACAGAAGUCUCACUUGAAUUGAUUUAAGUAUGGAGAUUCAAAUUCCAGUUAUUUUCAUCCUAUUAUCAGAGGAAGAAGAAGAGGAAUAUUCAUUCACAAAGUUAAAAAUAAAGAUGGGGUGUGGAUUCAAGGGUAUGAUAAAAUUGCUACUUCCAGUUGUCAACAUUUCCAGGAUAUUUUUACUGGAAAAAUAGAACAUGUCCUAGAAGAAAUGUUAGCUACCAUCCUAUAAUGCUUUCAGAUGCUCAGAAUGAGGCUCUUCAAGCAAUUCCUACUCUAGAUGAAGUAAAGACUGUAGUAUUUUUAAUGAAUGCUUACUUAGCUACUGGUCCUGAUGGUAUGAAUGGAAGAUUCUUUCAGUCCUGCUGGAAUAUCAUUGGUAUGGAUCUGUUUCAAGUAGUGAUAACUUUCUUUUAUGGUCACACGAUGCCUAAAUACUUCUCACACACUUUUCUAGUUCUCCUUCCUAAAUUUUCUCAUCCUAACAAACUUUCUGAAUAUAAACCUAUUAGCCUGAGUAAUUUCACUAAUAAAGUCAUUUCUAAACUCCUCUACCCCAUACUAGCUCACAUCUUUCCCACUCUUAUUUCAGUAACUAAUCAGGCUUUGUGAGGGGUAAGAAUAUUGUUGAAAACAUCAUGAUUGCUCAAAAGAUCAUUAGUGGCAUUAAGAAACCAAUUGUGGGUAGAAAUAUAGUCAUAAAGUUGGACACGGCCAAGGCAUAUGACAGGGUGUCCUGGUCAUAUACUUGUUUAGUUUUAAGAAGAUUUGGUUUUGGUGAAAUGUUUAUUGACAUGAUUAAGAGAACUCUAUCCAAUAACUGGUACUCAGUUCUUGUAAAUGGUACUAGACAUGGGUUUUUCCACUCUACAAAGGGCUUGAAACAAGCUGAUCCUUUCUCCCCUACUCUAUUUGUUCUUGAGGCUGAAGUAUUAUCAAGGGCCUUAAACAAUUUGCAUUAUCAUCCUCAGUAUUAUGGAUUUCAUAUGGAGAGGAAAGGGCCUCAAAUAAACCAUCUCAGUUUUGCUGAUGACAUUAUCAUAAUCACUACUAGAAGGAGACAUACUUUAAGGCUAAUAAUAAAGACACUGGCAUCUUAUGAAGUGGUUUCAGGACAGCUAAUAAACAAAUACAAGUUAUUUCGUGGUACAAAACCAAGCUUUUCGCUCCACAAUUUCAAGGAUCAAAGAUGAAGCUGGAUUUCAGCAGAAGCAGAGCCCCAUUAUAUACCUUGGUUGUCUAAUUUAUAUUGGAAGACAGAGAAUUAGUCAUUAUGCUGGGCUGGUUAGCAAAGUGGCUUCAAGAAUUGCAGGUUGGUAGUCAAAACUUCUUAGUUAUGGUGGCAAAGUGGUGCUGGUAAAACAUGUUCUGCAAGCAAUCCCUAUUCAUAUUAUUUCUCCUUGUAUCACUCCCAAAACCAUCUUAAAACAACUUGUGAGUUUGUUUGUUGAUUUUUUUUGGGGAUGGAAAGACACCAAAAAGAAGUAUCACUGGGCAUCCUGGAGAACCUUAUGUUUCCCUACUAAUGAAGGAGGGGUUGGUAUUAGGCAUCUUGCUAAAAAUAUGUCAAGCUAUGCAAUUGAAAUAAUGGUGGGUGUUCAGGAGCAGCAACACUCUUUGGGCCAAAUUCUUACUUGCUAAGUACUGUUAUAGAGUUAAUGUUGUAGCUAAGAGAGGAACAAGUGGUCAAUCUCUAGUCUGGAAGAGUAUGAUGAGAAAUAAGAAAGAAGCUAAAAAAUAUAUACUAUAGAUAAUCAAAUCAGGUACCUGUUACUUUUGGUGGGACAACUGGACUAGAUUGGGGCCUCUACACAACUAUAGAACUGAUGGUGUAAGAUCAAAUAAUGCCAAGGUUGAAGCCUUAUUCAUUGAUGGGGAGUGGAAUAUACGAAACUAAGCCUAAUACCAACCCCUCCACAGUUGUUAAACUGCAUCAUCAGAAUAUCAUUUCAGUUCAAAAGGGGGUUCCUGAUCUGCCAAUUUGGAGUUUGAGUACAAAUAGUGGCUUUAGUUGCUCCUCAUCAUGGGAAAUGGUCAGAAAACACAAAGAAAUAACAAUGCUGAACACUUACACUUGGCAUAGACUGAUUCAUUUCAAAUGUUCCUUCCUUCUGUGGAGAUUGUUGAGGCAAAAAUUACCCACAAAUGAAAGGCUCAGGUAAUUAGGUGUAGCUCCUGUUAACUGUAGAUGUUGUGCUAAUCUUGAAUGGGAAACCAUCCCUCACAUCUUUAUAGAGGGAUCCUUUGCAGCUCACGUCUGCUAGUAUUUUUCAUCCUUAAUGGGAAUUCUAUAUAUCCUAGCCUCAAUAAAGACUUUGAUGCUGAAAUGGUGGAAGUAUAAAUCUUUAACUAGUGCACAAAAAUUGGUGUUUUAGGCCCUGCCAAUUAUCAUUUGUUGGAACUUAUGGAAAUAUAGAUGUGCUGUCAAAUAUGGAGGGAAGCGGCCCCAAUUAGCUAGAGUGAAAUUCCUGAUUUAGAAAGAUAUCUCUCAUCUCUUAUGCAAUGCAUUCCCUUAUAUCCCCUGGCCUACUGGAUGGACAAAAUUGAUAGCUUAUGUUAAGAAAUGCAAAAAGGAAAUAAAGGUCACAUUUGUGUAUUAGUCUAAACCACCAUCCCAUAUGGUCAAGAUAAAUUCUGAUGGUAGUGCAACCACAAAUCCUGGAAGGAUUAGAGCAGGGGGUCAUAAUAGAUUAUAAUGGUGAUCUCAUUUAUGCAUAUGCUACACCACUAGGACAGGGAACCAACAAUCAACCAGAGGUGAAAGCUGCUAUAUGGGGACUCUCUUGGUGUUUAAACAAUGGUAUACAACAAGUUAUGUUAGAGGUGGAUGCGGAGCUCCUGGUCAGAUGGACAAGAGAACAAAUUCCAAUCCCAUGGAAUCUACAGCCUCUUGUGGAGUAUUUACUCAAAGACAUCUCUUAGUUUCAGCUAUGUAUUUGCAGAUAUGUCUACAGGGAAUCCAAUUUUGUUGCAGAUGCUUUAUAAAAAGUGAGUCACUAAGCAGAUCAGCCUCAACACUAUUUUCACAAUUCUCAACUUCCAUCAGAAGCAGUAGGGUACUUCCAACUUGAUAAAAUGGGACUACCAAGUUUCAAAAGGAGGAAAUUGACUAUGCUAUAGGAACCACCUUAGUGAUUUUACCUUGAUAGAGAUAACCAAAAAGUAUAUCCAUAAAGUUGUAUUAGUUUUACACAUUCGAAUAUUGUUACUAAUCUUGAGGUCAGGUAUAUGUCCCGCUCAUUGUACGAAUUCUUUUGUUUUAAUGAUAAAGUCUGGGGGUGAUUCUCAACCCCUAAAAAUUACAUUAAAAAAAGGCUCAACCUAGGCAUCUUCAUCAGUUGGAUUCUUUUUCUUCUUCACAUGCAUCUCCUUGAAUAUCUUAUCGAAGAAUAUCUUCCUACUUUUUUCUUUUUCCAACUUAUGAAAAAAUUAUUAAUCUUUAAAUAAUUAAAAUUUAAGUAGAAACAAACUAUUAAAACUGUAAAAGUUACAUACCAUUUUUUUCUCCAUAACAAUCAUACAAACUACACCCGCAGUAUGUAGAGAGCCACCCUUGGAUGAUGCCCGAGCUUCCUUUCCAUUGUCCCUCAACAAUUGGUAUUCUUCGGUAUUCCAAUAGCGAAUAUACUAUUUCCAUAUGGAUUCAUCUAUCCAGUUAGGUUGUACCAAGUUGAUUCUGGCAUAAUCCAACAGAUUGUUAAAUCUGGAUCUAGCUCUUUUGUAAAAAAAAUUCUCCUUAAAGCACAUUCAUUCACAUCAUCCCACCAAUAAUAUUUCUACAAUAAAAAUAAAAAUAUAAUAAUCAAUCUUUUGUUCUAACAAUGUGUUAAGUAGUCAAUAAGUUAAAUCCUUACAUAAAAUUCUUAAAAGAUUCUUUCUCUGUCAUUUUUUGGAACCUUUUGCCAACUGGUCCAGUAACCGUUGAAGUGCCGACAAAUGCAUUUACUCACAAGUUUUCCAACUCCAGCAUCAGGCGUAAACCUACAGCACAAGAUCAAACAGUAAUUUCAUAGAGCAUAAUAAUAUAGUAAAGAAAAAUGAAUAAUGUUAUUAUAUUUAGAAAUAUUACCCUGUUCCAUAUGGAAUAAGAUAACGUCUCCCAUAAUCAUUUCUGUCUCUAGGAUGUGGAGCAAGUGUUGGUGGAUGCACUGGCAUUGGUGGAUCUGAAUCACUGGAUAGAGUGCCUCCAAGAUGAAGAUCCGACAACCCAAUAGACCCAGCAAAAUCACUGUGUGAACCUGGGUGACUGCUACAGGAGGGUACGGAUGAUGGUAGAUGUCCGGAUAUGCCAGCGGUCAUCCUAUACUACUGUGAUGAUGGUGGCAUAGUGAUAGAAGCAGAAUGAGUUAGUGUAGACCCAUGAAGUGUACCCAUAUGAAUAGGAGCAGGAACCGAAUGCUAAGACAAUCUAGAAUAUGAGGGUCAUGCUGGCGCGUCAGCAGAUUAACCCUCAGUUAUAUGAAUACCUAUCAGUCAUCUUUAAGGCGUAGGUUGUUUUUUUUUUUUUUUGUAGGAUCAACUUUUCCCUUACCUUUGUCACAUCUACCUGACAUAUAAAUUAUGUAAAGUUAACAAGUAGUUAGUUCCUAAAAAAUAAAUAUAUAAGAAAACAUUCCAAGAAACUAAUUUCAAGUUACUGAUUCACAUUUCAAAUCGCUCCAACAACACGAGAUAGACAAGAAUAUUUUUAUUACUAUAUAAAUUAUGGAAAAGUGAAAACAACAAUCUUAAACAGUAUAUUACAUAUCAAUCUUAAAAAAGAAACAUAAAGGUAAGUAUAUAGUACAAAGCAUAAAGACAUCAAUAUAUAAUAAAUACAACCAACACAAACUAAUCGUCCUCUUCUGAAGACUCUCCAUUAAACCAUUCACCCUCUUUUUCCUCAUCUCCUAUUCACUCAGCCUCUUCUUCCACAAUAUUAACUUCUUCAAAUAUAUUUUUCGAGUGAUUCAAACUAUCCACUAAGUCAAUGUCCAUUAACUGGUGAUCAAUUUGCAUUUCAUUUUGAUACGCAGUCUCCAGUACAUUCUCAACUUCCACCCAUCAUAUAAGCUUUGUUUUGAUUAUAGCCACCAAUCAGAAUUAUCACUGUGCAAUGGAUAAGGAGCAUAAUACACUUAUUUAGCAUUUUGUUCUAGAACAAAUGGAUUGUAAACAGGAUACGACCUAUUGUGUUUCACUUCAAUGAUGUUAUGGUACUUAUGUACUCUUGUGAUUAGAUCAAACCACUUACAUCGAAAGAGAAAAAAAAUUUAUUGGGAAACCAGUAUACUCCAGUUCUAAGAUCUUAUGUAUGAUGCCAAAGUAAUCAACAUCAUCAUCACCCUUAACCCAAACACCACUAUUAUUUGUUUUUCUUGUUCUGGAGUGUUCUUUGGUGGAAAAUUUAUACCGAUAUACUGUGUAAUGGGACAUUGCAUGAGCUUCAACUGGACCUAAAGAAAUAUCUCUCAAAAACCGAUCGUAUGCGGCAGCAUUUGGUGACUGGUGUACCUAAAAAUAUUAUACACACACACACAUAUAUAUGUUAGUUGAGAAAUGUGUAAAUGUUUUAAAUUUAUAAAAAUAUUAAUACACUUACGAAUCUUAUAUGUAAACCAUGUUGCAAAGGAUGCAUACACUUGAUUUUUGUGGAAUUGAGUCUUAAAUAAACUAAAGACCCAACAUACGAAACACAAUUAGUUUCCUUAAGGAAAUGAGUAAAUAAAUAAGAUAUGUUAAAAUUUUAAUCUCUUUACUUCAAAAAGGGCUCAACUUUUGGGCAAUUCAACAAUACAUACAAGGUUUCUGAUUUGCGCUCUGUGGGAGUGAGUCGACGAAAUAUAAUCUUUUUAGUCUUAUAGUCAGAUUGAUUGAAAAUUGAUAUUGGUUGUAAGUGAGGCUCAUUCUCAUCAUUUUGAUGAUGAUUCAGUCGAUUUCUUGAACAAGCAACUUCAUCAUGAAAGUAGUAUGAAUAAAAUUGAGACGUUUCUCUUACAAGAUAUGCCUCAACUAUAGAGCCUUCUACCCUAUGUUUGUUUUUGGGACCCCUUUCAAAUUUUCUAAUUGCCCUGCACAAUAUUAAGAUUAGAUGUUUACUAUAUUGAAAAAAGAUAUGUAUAAAUUUAAAUAUGUUGCAAUUGCUUACCGCUCGAAUGGAUACAUCCACCUAGUUUGAACUAGACUGCCUAGCCGAGGUUCGUGCACAAGGUGAAUGGAAAGAUGUUUCAUCACAUCAAAGAACGCUGGCGAAAAAAUCUUCUCCAACUUAUUGGUCAUAACAACAAUAUUAAUUUCCAUUUGAGCCUGAUUUUCUUCUUUUAAUGUGGUGGUACAUAAGUCUUUGAAGAACAAACUAAUCUGUGCUAUUGGUUUCCAUAUAUUUUCAGGUAAACCAAUAAAAGCAAUUGGAAGUAACUGUUCUAUAAAAACAUGACAAUCAUGGCUUUUCAUUUCAUGUAAGAUUCCUUGUGCCAUAUCAACCCUCUUUCCUAAAUUUAAGGCAUAUCCAUUGGGCAUCUUCAAACUUUGGACCCACUCACAUAUUUGACGCUUUUGGUCCAACUUGAAUGUAAAACUAGCCUUGGGCUUAAGAACAUUGCCAUUUGGCCCCCUCCUGUAAGUGUAAUUCUCUGCGUUUGGAAUAUUCUGGUAAGUCAAGUCUGGCCUUAGGAUUACCUUUGCUUUGCCGAUGACAUCCAUAACUGUGUUGAACAAGUUGUCAAAAUAGUUCUUCUUAGUAUGCAUGAUAUCAACAUUAUUUGUAAGUAAAUUAUCUGGCCAAUAUUCUAACUCCCAAAAUAUACUUUACUUAGUUCAGUUAUGAGAAACGCCAUAUCCAUCUAGCCUAUACAAUGGCUCCUCGCUGACUUUACGCAAAUCCUGAACUCUCCCACAUGUCAUGACCAGAUAGCCUUGGAGGUGGACCAUCAUGUUCCCUUUGAUUCCUUCUGAAUGCAUUUCUGAGUCUCCUAAAUUCAUGAUCAGGUGGCAAGAAAUAACGAUGACAAUCAAACCAUGAAUUUUUCUUGCCAUGUCUCAAUGUGAAAGGUUUUGUUUUUUCCAUGCAGUAUGGACAAGCUAACUUUCCAGCUGUUAUCUACCCAGACAACAUUCCAAAAGCAGGAAAAUCAUUAACAGUGUAUAUUAGAUAUGCACGCAGAUUGAAGUUCUGUUUAAGUGAGAUGUCCCAAGUUUCAACCCCCGCAUGCCAUAAAAUUUGAAAGUUCAUCGAUCAAAGGUUGCAAGUAUACAUCUAUUCCAUUUUUUGGAUUAUGCGGGCCAGGAAUAACAUAAUUUAGAAAUAUAUAGGGACUAGUCAUCAAUAUUUCAGGAGAAAGAUUAUUCGGGGUGAUAAAUAUAGGCCUACAUGAAUAUGGCACAACACCAACUAAAAAAGGAAAGAAGCCAUCCACACAUAAUCCCAAAUGAAUAUUUCGUGGCUCAACUGCAAAAUCUAGAUAAGUUGCAUCAAAAUGCUUCCAAGCCUCUCUAUCAGAUGGAUAACACAUAACACCAGUGGGCCUUCUAUUUUCACUGUGUCAUCUCAUAUGAGGAGCUGAGCUGUUUGAAACAUACAACCUCUCCAGCCUUGGUAUUAGAGGUAAAUAAUGUAUCGCCUUAAUAGCAAUUUAAUUUCCACUAUAGCCACACUUUUAUCGAGGGUGCUGACAAAACUUACAGGACUCUAGGUUAGCAUUUUUCUUAAAGAAUAACAUGCAUCCAUUUUCACAACAAUCAAUUCUAACCGAGGAGAGACCCACUUUGACACCAAUCUUUUUGCCUUAUAGAAAGAGUCAGGAACCUCCAAGCUGGGGUCAACUAACUCUUUAGUAAGGUCUAUCAUUGAGUCCAUUCCUCCUUCAGCAAUAUUCCAGUCAGAUCUAAUACUUAAUAAUUUAACAUCAAUAGAUAAAUGAGAGUGCAAAUACCCAUCAAAUAAAGGAUGACUAGCAGCAUGCAAUUGUUCAUAGAAUUUUCCCGCUUCUCUACUAGGAACAUCUUCAACAUUUUCCCUAAAGUCUCUCCCGUGUUGCAUCCCAAAAGCAUCGUCCACCAUUUCUGUCAUCCUAGUAUCUUGAUAUUCAUUAUGCCCUACAAACCUACUACUUUGUACAACAACAAAGUUAUUUUGCCCAACAUCAAUGUCAAUAGCAUGCAAUCUUAAAAAGUCCUCAUGAAACCCCCUUUUAUAAAGAUUUUCCUUCACAACUUCUUCUUUUAAAAGAUUUAUACCACCACAUCUAACACAAGGACAACGAAUAGCCCAAAAAUGUGACCAAACAUCAAGUGUCUUAGUAUGUUCAACAAAUUGUUUGACACCUUCAACAAAUUCCUCCCUAAGACCCAUUCUAUUUUUAUUAUUCGGUUGAUAUAUCUAGCUAUAAUCAAGUUCCAUCUACACAAUCAGUCAGAUUCAACUAAUUAGAUCAAGUCACAAAAAUUUCACAUUUCAAGUACCUAAAUUCAAAAUGAAAAAGUACCUACACUUUAUCAGUUUCAAGUGACUAAGUCACCUAUCAAGUCAUCAAACUUAACUACAUUCAAAACAAAAUUCACAUUUCAAAUACCUAAACUUCAACAUUUUCAACUCACUAAGUCAUCACCCAAGCCACCAAACUAACCACAUUCAAAACAAAAAUUCACCUUUAAAGUACCUACAUUUAGUAAAUCUCAAAUGACUAAGUCACCUACCAAGUCACCAAACUUACUUAAAUUCAAAAUAAAAAAAAUCACCUUUAAAGUACCUACACUUAGUAAAUUUCAACUCACUAAGUCAUCACCCAAGUCACCAACUAAACCACAUUCGAAGUAAAAAAUUCACCUUUAAAGUACCUACACUUAAUAAAUUUCAAGUGACUAAGUCACCUACCAAAUCACCAAACUUAACUACAUUCAAAACAAAAAUUGACAUUUCAAGUACCUAAACUUCAACAUUUUCAACUGACUAAGUCAUCACCCAAGUCACCAAACUAAACCACAAUCAAAAUAAAAAUUCACCUUUAAAGUACGUACACUUAGUAAAUUUCAAGUGACUAAGUCACCAACCAGGUCACCAAACUUAACUAUAUUCAGAAUAAAAAAUACACCUUUAAAGUACCUACACUUAGUAAACUUCAACUCACUAAGUCAUCACCCAAGUUACCAAACUAAACCACAUUAAUUGGAAGUAACUGUUCUAUAAAAACAUGACAAUCAUGGCUUUUCAUUUCAUGUAAGAUUCCUUGUGCCAUAUCAACCCUCUUUCCUAAAUUUAAGGCAUAUCCAUUGGGCAUCUUCAAACUUUGGACCCACUCACAUAUUUGACGCUUUUGGUCCAACUUGAAUGUAAAACUAGCCUUGGGCUUAAGAACAUUGCCAUUUGGCCCCCUCCUGUAAGUGUAAUUCUCUGCGUUUGGAAUAUUCUGGUAAGUCAAGUCUGGCCUUAGGAUUACCUUUGCUUUGCCGAUGACAUCCAUAACUGUGUUGAACAAGUUGUCAAAAUAGUUCUUCUUAGUAUGCAUGAUAUCAACAUUAUUUGUAAGUAAAUUAUCUGGCCAAUAUUCUAACUCCCAAAAUAUACUUUACUUAGUUCAGUUAUGAGAAACGCCAUAUCCAUCUAGCCUAUACAAUGGCUCCUCGCUGACUUUACGCAAAUCCUGAACUCUCCCACAUGUCAUGACCAGAUAGCCUUGGAGGUGGACCAUCAUGUUCCCUUUGAUUCCUUCUGAAUGCAUUUCUGAGUCUCCUAAAUUCAUGAUCAGGUGGCAAGAAAUAACGAUGACAAUCAAACCAUGAAUUUUUCUUGCCAUGUCUCAAUGUGAAAGGUUUUGUUUUUUCCAUGCAGUAUGGACAAGCUGAUUCCUUCUGAAUGCAUUUCUGAGUCUCCUAAAUUCAUGAUCAGGUGGCAAGAAAUAACGAUGACAAUCAAACCAUGAAUUUUUCUUGCCAUGUCUCAAUGUGAAAGGUUUUGUUUUUUCCAUGCAGUAUGGACAAGCUAACUUUCCAGCUGUUAUCUACCCAGACAACAUUCCAAAAGCAGGAAAAUCAUUAACAGUGUAUAUUAGAUAUGCACGCAGAUUGAAGUUCUGUUUAAGUGAGAUGUCCCAAGUUUCAACCCCCGCAUGCCAUAAAAUUUGAAAGUUCAUCGAUCAAAGGUUGCAAGUAUACAUCUAUUCCAUUUUUUGGAUUAUGCGGGCCAGGAAUAACAUAAUUUAGAAAUAUAUAGGGACUAGUCAUCAAUAUUUCAGGAGAAAGAUUAUUCGGGGUGAUAAAUAUAGGCCUACAUGAAUAUGGCACAACACCAACUAAAAAAGGAAAGAAGCCAUCCACACAUAAUCCCAAAUGAAUAUUUCGUGGCUCAACUGCAAAAUCUAGAUAAGUUGCAUCAAAAUGCUUCCAAGCCUCUCUAUCAGAUGGAUAACACAUAACACCAGUGGGCCUUCUAUUUUCACUGUGUCAUCUCAUAUGAGGAGCUGAGCUGUUUGAAACAUACAACCUCUCCAGCCUUGGUAUUAGAGGUAAAUAAUGUAUCGCCUUAAUAGCAAUUUAAUUUCCACUAUAGCCACACUUUUAUCGAGGGUGCUGACAAAACUUACAGGACUCUAGGUUAGCAUUUUUCUUAAAGAAUAACAUGCAUCCAUUUUCACAACAAUCAAUUCUAACCGAGGAGAGACCCACUUUGACACCAAUCUUUUUGCCUUAUAGAAAGAGUCAGGAACCUCCAAGCUGGGGUCAACUAACUCUUUAGUAAGGUCUAUCAUUGAGUCCAUUCCUCCUUCAGCAAUAUUCCAGUCAGAUCUAAUACUUAAUAAUUUAACAUCAAUAGAUAAAUGAGAGUGCAAAUACCCAUCAAAUAAAGGAUGACUAGCAGCAUGCAAUUGUUCAUAGAAUUUUCCCGCUUCUCUACUAGGAACAUCUUCAACAUUUUCCCUAAAGUCUCUCCCGUGUUGCAUCCCAAAAGCAUCGUCCACCAUUUCUGUCAUCCUAGUAUCUUGAUAUUCAUUAUGCCCUACAAACCUACUACUUUGUACAACAACAAAGUUAUUUUGCCCAACAUCAAUGUCAAUAGCAUGCAAUCUUAAAAAGUCCUCAUGAAACCCCCUUUUAUAAAGAUUUUCCUUCACAACUUCUUCUUUUAAAAGAUUUAUACCACCACAUCUAACACAAGGACAACGAAUAGCCCAAAAAUGUGACCAAACAUCAAGUGUCUUAGUAUGUUCAACAAAUUGUUUGACACCUUCAACAAAUUCCUCCCUAAGACCCAUUCUAUUUUUAUUAUUCGGUUGAUAUAUCUAGCUAUAAUCAAGUUCCAUCUACACAAUCAGUCAGAUUCAACUAAUUAGAUCAAGUCACAAAAAUUUCACAUUUCAAGUACCUAAAUUCAAAAUGAAAAAGUACCUACACUUUAUCAGUUUCAAGUGACUAAGUCACCUAUCAAGUCAUCAAACUUAACUACAUUCAAAACAAAAUUCACAUUUCAAAUACCUAAACUUCAACAUUUUCAACUCACUAAGUCAUCACCCAAGCCACCAAACUAACCACAUUCAAAACAAAAAUUCACCUUUAAAGUACCUACAUUUAGUAAAUCUCAAAUGACUAAGUCACCUACCAAGUCACCAAACUUACUUAAAUUCAAAAUAAAAAAAAUCACCUUUAAAGUACCUACACUUAGUAAAUUUCAACUCACUAAGUCAUCACCCAAGUCACCAACUAAACCACAUUCGAAGUAAAAAAUUCACCUUUAAAGUACCUACACUUAAUAAAUUUCAAGUGACUAAGUCACCUACCAAAUCACCAAACUUAACUACAUUCAAAACAAAAAUUGACAUUUCAAGUACCUAAACUUCAACAUUUUCAACUGACUAAGUCAUCACCCAAGUCACCAAACUAAACCACAAUCAAAAUAAAAAUUCACCUUUAAAGUACGUACACUUAGUAAAUUUCAAGUGACUAAGUCACCAACCAGGUCACCAAACUUAACUAUAUUCAGAAUAAAAAAUACACCUUUAAAGUACCUACACUUAGUAAACUUCAACUCACUAAGUCAUCACCCAAGUUACCAAACUAAACCACAUUCAAAACAAAAAAUUCACCUUUAAAGUACCUACACUUUAUCAAUUUCAAGUGAUUAAGUUACCUACCAAGUCACCAAACUUAACUAUAUUCAACAUAAAAAUUCACUAUUUAUUUUUAAGUAAAGUUACCAUGCCUAAUCCGCACCCCUCUAUUAAUGGUAUCAGAGCACAGUUAUUUAAAAAAUACAGCAGUAGCACAUAUGUAUGUUUGAAUUUAUAUUUUAAUUUAGAUUGGAUUGGAUUAAAUGAAUAAAAUACAAAAAUACAAAGAACUAAAACAAAUUAUUUCUGAAAAACGUAAAGAAUUAAAAAUAAGAAUAGAAAGACUACAUUAUAAUAUAUUUGCCGAAGUUAGUGAAAACUCAAUAAAUACACAAAAAAAUAAAAUAUCAAAAUUAGAAUCAUAAAUAGAUAGUUUAGAAUAUAUAUAUCAACAUGAACUAUUCACAAUAAAAUGAACAAAGAAGAAUUUAUAAUAGAUGAAAAAAUAUAUGAAAAUCACGAAGGAUUAAAAAUAAAAAUUUUAUUGGGUCUCUACUUUUUAUAUCAUUUAUCUCUUUAUUAAUUAUUCUUUUUGUUACUAGUGGUAUACUAGCUUUACCUUUUGCUUAUCUACUGUCUGUUACAUGUUCCUUUUGGCAUACUACAUAAUAUUCUUCUUUUUUCCUAGUAAACAUAUUUUUUAUUGUUGGUAUUUUAAAUAUUUUUUCUACACUUAAGUCUAAUUCUUUUCCUUUUAUUUCAUCAAAUAUGUUAUUGUCAAAUAUUAUGUUUUGGUCUGUUCCUUCAUCAUUUAAAUAUUCUUCCUUUGUUAUUAUUUUUAUAUCUUCUUCAGUUAUUUGNNNNNNNNNNNNNNNNNNNNNNNNNNNNNNNNNNNNNNNNNNNNNNNNNNNNNNNNNNNNNNNNNNNNNNNNNNNNNNNNNNNNNNNNNNNNNNNNNNNNNNNNNNNNNNNNNNNNNNNNNNNNNNNNNNNNNNNNNNNNNNNNNNNNNNNNNNNNNNNNNNNNNNNNNNNNNNNNNNNNNNNNNNNNNNNNNNNNNNNNNNNNNNNNNNNNNNNNNNNNNNNNNNNNNNNNNNNNNNNNNNNNNNNNNNNNNNNNNNNNNNNNNNNNNNNNNNNNNNNNNNNNNNNNNNNNNNNNNNNNNNNNNNNNNNNNNNNNNNNNNNNNNNNNNNNNNNNNNNNNNNNNNNNNNNNNNNNNNNNNNNNNNNNNNNNNNNNNNNNNNNNNNNNNNNNNNNNNNNNNNNNNNNNNNNNNNNNNNNNNNNNNNNNNNNNNNNNNNNNNNNNNNNNNNNNNNNNNNNNNNNNNNNNNNNNNNNNNNNNNNNNNNNNNNNNNNNNNNNNNNNNNNNNNNNNNNNNNNNNNNNNNNNNNNNNNNNNNNNNNNNNNNNNNNNNNNNNNNNNNNNNNNNNNNNNNNNNNNNNNNNNNNNNNNNNNNNNNNNNNNNNNNNNNNNNNNNNNNNNNNNNNNNNNNNNNNNNNNNNNNNNNNNNNNNNNNNNNNNNNNNNNNNNNNNNNNNNNNNNNNNNNNNNNNNNNNNNNNNNNNNNNNNNNNNNNNNNNNNNNNNNNNNNNNNNNNNNNNNNNNNNNNNNNNNNNNNNNNNNNNNNNNNNNNNNNNNNNNNNNNNNNNNNNNNNNNNNNNNNNNNNNNNNNNNNNNNNNNNNNNNNNNNNNNNNNNNNNNNNNNNNNNNNNNNNNNNNNNNNNNNNNNNNNNNNNNNNNNNNNNNNNNNNNNNNNNNNNNNNNNNNNNNNNNNNNNNNNNNNNNNNNNNNNNNNNNNNNNNNNNNNNNNNNNNNNNNNNNNNNNNNNNNNNNNNNNNNNNNNNNNNNNNNNNNNNNNNNNNNNNNNNNNNNNNNNNNNNNNNNNNNNNNNNNNNNNNNNNNNNNNNNNNNNNNNNNNNNNNNNNNNNNNNNNNNNNNNNNNNNNNNNNNNNNNNNNNNNNNNNNNNNNNNNNNNNNNNNNNNNNNNNNNNNNNNNNNNNNNNNNNNNNNNNNNNNNNNNNNNNNNNNNNNNNNNNNNNNNNNNNNNNNNNNNNNNNNNNNNNNNNNNNNNNNNNNNNNNNNNNNNNNNNNNNNNNNNNNNNNNNNNNNNNNNNNNNNNNNNNNNNNNNNNNNNNNNNNNNNNNNNNNNNNNNNNNNNNNNNNNNNNNNNNNNNNNNNNNNNNNNNNNNNNNNNNNNNNNNNNNNNNNNNNNNNNNNNNNNNNNNNNNNNNNNNNNNNNNNNNNNNNNNNNNNNNNNNNNNNNNNNNNNNNNNNNNNNNNNNNNNNNNNNNNNNNNNNNNNNNNNNNNNNNNNNNNNNNNNNNNNNNNNNNNNNNNNNNNNNNNNNNNNNNNNNNNNNNNNNNNNNNNNNNNNNNNNNNNNNNNNNNNNNNNNNNNNNNNNNNNNNNNNNNNNNNNNNNNNNNNNNNNNNNNNNNNNNNNNNNNNNNNNNNNNNNNNNNNNNNNNNNNNNNNNNNNNNNNNNNNNNNNNNNNNNNNNNNNNNNNNNNNNNNNNNNNNNNNNNNNNNNNNNNNNNNNNNNNNNNNNNNNNNNNNNNNNNNNNNNNNNNNNNNNNNNNNNNNNNNNNNNNNNNNNNNNNNNNNNNNNNNNNNNNNNNNNNNNNNNNNNNNNNNNNNNNNNNNNNNNNNNNNNNNNNNNNNNNNNNNNNNNNNNNNNNNNNNNNNNNNNNNNNNNNNNNNNNNNNNNNNNNNNNNNNNNNNNNNNNNNNNNNNNNNNNNNNNNNNNNNNNNNNNNNNNNNNNNNNNNNNNNNNNNNNNNNNNNNNNNNNNNNNNNNNNNNNNNNNNNNNNNNNNNNNNNNNNNNNNNNNNNNNNNNNNNNNNNNNNNNNNNNNNNNNNNNNNNNNNNNNNNNNNNNNNNNNNNNNNNNNNNNNNNNNNNNNNNNNNNNNNNNNNNNNNNNNNNNNNNNNNNNNNNNNNNNNNNNNNNNNNNNNNNNNNNNNNNNNNNNNNNNNNNNNNNNNNNNNNNNNNNNNNNNNNNNNNNNNNNNNNNNNNNNNNNNNNNNNNNNNNNNNNNNNNNNNNNNNNNNNNNNNNNNNNNNNNNNNNNNNNNNNNNNNNNNNNNNNNNNNNNNNNNNNNNNNNNNNNNNNNNNNNNNNNNNNNNNNNNNNNNNNNNNNNNNNNNNNNNNNNNNNNNNNNNNNNNNNNNNNNNNNNNNNNNNNNNNNNNNNNNNNNNNNNNNNNNNNNNNNNNNNNNNNNNNNNNNNNNNNNNNNNNNNNNNNNNNNNNNNNNNNNNNNNNNNNNNNNNNNNNNNNNNNNNNNNNNNNNNNNNNNNNNACUAUCACAUGUACUUUUUCCUAAAUUUUCUAAGGUUUCUUCUAUCCAUAUUAAUAUUUCUUUUAGAUUCUCCAUUAUUUUCUAAUUCGGUUUCUAUAAUUAAUUUUUUUAUUUAGAUUAUCUUUAUUUUCUCUAGUUUUUCUAAUAUAUUCUAACAUCUCUUAAUCUGAAUAAUAUCCAUCUGGGUAAUUAUCCAAGUAUAACUGUGCUAUCCAAUUUAUAGUUUCAAUUUCAUAGUCUAAUACUUUUUCUAAUAUGAUUUUUCUUAUAUCUACUACUUUUAUAUCCUUAAGUGCAUACAAAAUAAGUAUUUUAAAUUUAUCUACCAUUACAUCAGAUAAAUAAUUAUUCAUUUUCAUAAAAUUGCUAUUUUCAAAAUAUUCCCUUCAAUCAUGUACAUAACAAAACAUGGUCAUCUUAGAUUACUAUAUACUAGAUUAUUCUUAAAUAACAUGUUCUUCGGUCACUAUUAGCAUGGUAAUCUGAAUAUUUUUCCCUUAAAUAGCGCCUCUACUCUGGUUACUCCCCACCAUGGCUUCUUGUCUCAUUGGUUUCACCUUUAGGAUGACAUAGUUCUUAGGGAUUUUUCUCCUUUUCCACUUUGCUAAUAAACUUCUUAACAUAUUAUUCUUCAAAUAAUUCUACUAUAAAGUAACUAUCAUGAAUUUAUUUUAUCAUACCAUGAUUGUUGGGAAUUAUGAAUUUAGCUAUUCAUAAUCAUAAAUAAAUAUACAUGUUCGGGUAGGUUUGAUAUUUCUAAGGUUUGUUCCUCCAUAGCUUUGUCCAUUGAAAUAAAUCUAUUUUUCAAUAACUAAGAAAAAUAUUUUGUUGUGGACAAGAGAGAGUUUUUGCUUCAACACAUGAAGGCUUGCUUUGUAAUGCCUUCAGUUCAUCUUAUUUAUAGACUGAAUAUUUACAAGAGUAUUAACGUUUCUAAAAUUAGUCUACAAAAAAGUCUCCUAAUAAGACAAAAAUUAUUAAUGCCUAGACUAAUAAUAGUCAAAAAGCCUAAAGCCUAAAAGUUUAGCCUAUCUAAAAAUCUAGCCUAUACAAAAAAUUUUAAUACUUUACGUAAAAUGAAUUAUGAAAGUUUACAUGUUGCUUUCACAAUUUAAUAGCUUUUCUUCUAUUAUACUCUGUUGAUAUCUUCUCGUUGUCGUAUCUGCUGCUUUUCCAUAUUUCCAUUAUUGCUUCUUAUCUUGUAUCUUCCAGCUGGCGUUCUUAUCUACUUGGUUGAUGUUUCUUCUAUUCUACCUGAACUUCUUGGAUAUCAUUAUCUCCUCCAUUAUAUUUUGAACAUUUAUGAUUUGGAUACUUAUGUCCAAUUGUCUUGCAAUAUCUUGUUAAUAAUUCUUCUGAAAAAAAUUUUCUCUGAUAGCUCUGGCGAUAGGUUCUGUCUCUAGUUUGAGUAACGUCAGAAUCCAUUUCCUAAUAGUUUCCAUGUCUAUUUCUCAUAAUUCCUUUGAAUUUGAAUAUAUUAGUACAUGAUUUCUUGAAUAAUAACUCCAUAUGGGAUUCUGGUUGCAGUAUGUGUUCGCUAGCUCUUGGAAAAUUAUAGAUAGUCCGAUAAUCCUCUUAUUCGCAUAAAAUUUUGGUAUCUCAAUUCUAGGUAUUUCUGGUUGUGGAAUAAUAUCUUGUGGUAUAAUCAUGUCUCGUGUCAUUCCUAUCUUUACAACUUGUAUGGGUUUUUUUAACUUUAUCAUAAAACAUCUCUGCUGGUGCCGUGUAAAUUUUUAUAAAAAAUAGGGUACCUUUGGUUAUUCUUUUAAAAAUACUAAAUGCUUCAUAUAUUUCCGGUAUAGUGGAUAUCUCAUUUCUGUCAGAGGUAUAUACAGUACUGAGUAGUCCAUAUUCAUAGCAAGUUUUAAGUAGACUUGGUUUGGUUUUAGGUAAAACAAUUAGCUUAUUAUAUCCGGCCAAUCUUUGGGUUAUAUAGUUUGUAUCUGGUUCUUGGAUGUUUAUAGCUCCGGGGUUAGUAUUUAAAAAGGUUUGUACAUUGUAGAUAUUUUCUAUAUAUGUCCNNNNNNNNNNNNNNNNNNNNNNNNNNNNNNNNNNNNNNNNNNNNNNNNNNNNNNNNNNNNNNNNNNNNNNNNNNNNNNNNNNNNNNNNNGCUCUGCACAUUGCUGAGUUAGCUGAUUUGUAGCUAUAGACUUCAGUUUAUCUUCAUUAGUCUUUAGCUUUUCUAUCUCAUUACCCAUACUGUCCACUUUCAUUGAAAGCGUAGUUAGGGUGUUAAGUAUUUUUUCUAGAGUAUCUUCCUCUACUAUAUCAGUCUGUGUAGCUUUGUCUUGAUAUGUAAUCUGCAAUGACAUUUUUGUUAGUACUAAUCACUUCAAUUGUAAAUGUGAAAUUUAAUAUAUUUAAAACUAGUCUUCGAAUCUCUUUUGUUGUAACUGAAUUUUGUAUUUUCUUUGUUAGCCACCAACGUACCUGUGUAUUAUCUGUUCGUACAAUAAAUUUGUUAUAUACAAUAUAUGGCUCAAAUGCUAAUAAACACUUAUAUAAUGAACAUAACUCUUUUCUAUUUAUUUCCCAUUUUAUUUCUGUCUCGUUGAACGUACCUGAGUAGUAUCUACAAUGGUGUUCUAUUUUUUCUGCUUCAUAUCGAUAUUUAAGUACUCCUCCGUAACUAUAUUCACUUGCAUCUGCUUCUACUAUAUAUAUAAAUUUUCUAUUUUCAUCUGGAAAUUGCAAUUUUGGUAAUUCUCUACAAAGUAAUUUUAUUUUUUGAACUUGUUUUUUAUCUUUUUCAUCAUAAUUAUAUUCUAUAUCCUUUUUUAAUUUUUUCUGCAGUGGUUUUAAGGUUUCUGCUAAUUUUGGAAUAUAUUCUCUUACUUGGUUUACUAGUCCUAAAAAUGAUUGUAAUUUCUUUUUUGUAUCUAAUUCUUCUUUCGAAUUUAUUAUUUUUUGUACUAUAUGUUGUUGCAUUUUUACUCCACUUUUAUCUAUUUGUAUUCCUAAAAAUUCUAUCUGGUUUUUCAUAAUUUCAGCUUUCUUUUUGCUUAGACUUAUUCCUGAUUUUUCUAUUAUAUCUGUGAACUGUUCUAAUAAUUUUAAAUGUUCUUCUUUAGUUUUUGUAUAUAAUAAUAUAUCAUCUAUGUAUACUAUACAAUUAGAUAAUUGUUUAAAAUAACUAUCCAUAAAAUGUUGAUAUCUACCUGGUGCAUUUUUAUAUCCAAAUGGUAAUACGUUUCAUUCAUAAAAUCCUUGUGGUACCGUAAAUGCGGUUAAUUCUUUAGAUUCUUCUUCUAACUUUAAAUGGUAAAAUUUUGAUUUACAAUCGAAUUUACUAAAAUAAUUAUAUCCCUAUAUUUGUCUUAUUUUUAAUAUCUUAUUUGGUGUUGGAUAAUUAUAUGUCAUAGUCUUUGCAUUUAAAUUUCUAUAGUCAAUAACCAUUCUACUUUUUCCUCUUUUUUGUUCACUAGACACCUAGGAUAUAGCGAAACCAAAACCCUAUUUUAGGUAUGAGACUAGGAUGACCCAAUACCCGAGGGUCUAUUGGGCCUAUUAGAAAACUUGUCAUGGGUCUAUUGACCCCGAGUUAAUUACAGAUGAAUCAUAUCUAUGUGUUGAAGAAGAAUAUAUGUUUGUUUAAACCAAUCCAUUAUCCUUUGGGGGUCAGGAAAAAAGCUUACUCUGCUUUCGAGUAAGGAUUCCUCAAUCAUACACCAAUUGAGAGCAGAAUUGAAGUAAACCAAGAAAGAAAUUAAUCAAUUUAGAUGGUUGCAUCUAAGGCACAACUAUAUGGAAAUAGCUUGAUUAUUAACGGAUGUCACCAAUGAUAAGAAGUGGACAAAGAUAAGAAGGCGAAGGCCUAUAGAAAAAGCAUUCAGGAUUUAGUAUUUCCUAUCCCCUGCGUGGGACAUCAUUCUUUUUCUCAUGUGAUUUUCCUUUCCCUAAAGAUUGUACCCCCUUUGUGCAACUUUUGAAGGAGUUUAUGCCAUUUAUGUAUAUCUAUGAAAUUGGGGGGAUAAUGGAUUGGCUUUAAAAAAUACAUAUUUUCUUCAACGUUCGUUAGACCUAAACCCCUGGCUCAAAAGGGUCAAUCUAAUUAGGAUACACGUUAUUAUAAUGCUUUUAUGCGAUAUAACUGCCUUAUGUGUUUAUGUGUGUUUGUUUGAAUCAAAGGCAAGUUUAUCCACUAUGCUCAUGUGGAUCAAUUUGGCUACGACACAAAUGACUCUACGUGGUUAUUUCUUAUCAAGUAUCUUACAUUACUUAUCACAUAUGGAAACUAACACAUCUACCUUCGAGUUAUUUUACUUUAUAGAUAAUAGAAAACUACUCCGUGUUGAAAUAAGCUGGCAGAACAUCCUUACUUCACUCGGUCAAAAGCGCAUAAGAUACCAUCCCCUAAUUAUCAUUCAAACAUGACUGGAAGUGAUGAAAAUGCAUUGACUAUUAGGGACAAUGUGAUAAUGAAACAAAGUGAGAUGAUUGCUGAACUCGUGAGAAAAUAGAAAAUGCUUUAAGAGGAGAUGAAUCGUACUCGAGAUGUGGCUAACCUGGCCAUCACUAUAGAUCUACCGGAAGGAUACAAAGUCCCUAAAUUUAAAGUGUUCGAUGGUGCUAAAAAUCCUAUGGCCUAUCUGAGGAGGUAUCAUGAUCAAAUGGUGGGAUAGGGAAAAAUAAGGCAUUAUUGAUGCGCCUGUUGAGCCAAAGCUUAAAAAGCGAAGCCUUAUAUUGGUUCACAUCUCAAGAAUUGAAAAGAUAGACUAGUUGGAGGGCAUUGUCUAAAGGUUUCCUUGAUAGGUUUGAGUUUAAAAUUGAAAUAGUCCCUGAGUGGUACUCAUUAGACUGGACCAAGCAGAAGAAUGAUGAGUGUUUCCGAGACUAUGCCUUCCGUUGAUGGAAAAAAGCUGCGAAAGUACAACCUCCCAUGUCUGAGAAGAAAAUGGCAUCGAUUUGAUCUCGCACUUAGGAGGGAUAAUUUUUCACUAGGAUGGUAUCUGCAGUUAGGAAACUUUUAUAGAUUUGGAAAAAAUCAAGGAAUCGCUAGAGGAAGGCAUUCGAACGGGAAAGAUUGUCAAAAGCCCAACAUCAUCGGAAUCUUCUACAUUCUAAAAGAAGAAAAGAGAGGAUGUGAUUGUGGUGUCUACUAAUUUUGUGGAUAAAUUAAAGAAGAAAUUCAAUCCAUGGAAUAUUCUUUCUUCAUCUCCAUCAUCAAGUUUUCAGCUUGUAUUCUAUGCCCAAUCCCAAUAUCAAGCUCCACUUCCAAAUAUUUUACCCUAGUACGAAGUUCCGUAGCCAAAUUAUCAGUCUCAUGUUCAAGAUAUUCUUCCAAACAACCAAAAAAACAUACAAGUGCCUCGAAAUAAUCAUCAAGUACCUCUUACUGCGAAUCAAAUCAGUAUGACCCCCAACAUCCAAAGCUCAAAAAAAAAUCUCCCCGAAACUUCACAUCGUUAUCUGAAAGUUGCACCCAACUCUUUGGGAGAUUAAAGGAUGCCGGUCAUUUACAGCCUAUCAAGUUAAAUCUUAUCAAUCCCAACUCCUAAUUUUAUCAUGCCGAUCAAAAUUGUGCUUAUCAUUUAGAAGCGGUGGGGCACAACACUGAGGAGUGCGUUAUCUUAAAGUAUAAGAUUCAAGAUCUUAUUGAUCAGAAGGUCAUCACGCUUCAAUUUCCGACACCAAACGUCAAUAGUAAUCUAUUUCCUAAUCACAAAGAAGGCACGGUUAGCAUGAUCGAAAUAGAAGGCGAAUGGGUUUCUAGCAAAACUAUUACUAAGGUGGAUUCAAAAAAUUCCAAAAAAAAAUAAAAAAAGUAGAAAAGAUAGAGAAACUCGUGGCUGCUUUGAGUAUCUUGAGUAAGAAUUUGGAAGAAAUCAUUGAGCCUAUUAUGGUCCCAGAAAAAGCAUCUAAGUAUGGGUUAGGAUACCAGCCAAUAGAGGAGGAUAAAAUUGAGGAUAAGUCAAAGACUAGUCUGCAUAGGCCUUUGCCUCUCAUGUACCAGUCAUUUCUCAUGCGUGAGAUGUCAAAUGAUGAUGGCCUUGGGGUUGGGAUAGGAAAUCUGUUCGAGGGAUGCAAUAUUAUAUCAAAAAAUUUUCUAAAGUCCAGUGGGGUGAAGAAGGUUGCACCAAUAGAAGCUUUGCAAAACUAGACCCCCACUACAUUCAUAACUUGUCGCCCGUCAUGAUAGAUGAAAGCGAAAUUACUAGUAGUUUUAAAAAAUUGGUGAUGAUCCGUAGGAGGCCCCGUGAUGCACCUUUUUAUAUCCCAAAUUUUUAUUUCAUUUUUUAUAGCUUUCAAAAAGGCAUGGGCCCACAUUUGCGCAGGUCAUGAGCCAUAGUUUUUAUUUAUUUUUCAAAAGGCCUCCCUUCAUUUUAGAAUUUAUUUUUGAAAUAUGAUUAUAUUAUUAUCUUGUUAUCAUCUAACUUGGUUUAUUUCAAAAGACUAAUUUAAAGCUUGCCAAUGUCAUGUCAUGUCAAGGAUUAGACGAAUAAAGCAAGGGGAAUAAUGAUGAAUAGAAAAGGUGAUGAGGAGCAGUUAGAGGAAGAAAUAGAGGAAUUUGAAAAUUAAAAGAAGCCAAACCUGGAGGAGCCCUAAUCCUACCUGAGAUUGAUGGCCAAGAGUUGACCAAACCAAUCAAUUCUGAUGCGGUAAAGACAUACUGUGUUUGAAAGAUGUUUUAGUUUUUGUUUCCUUGGCUUAUUUGUAAUCGUCUUUAUGAUAGUAUCUAUUUUAUGAUGUGUAAUUUCCUAGAAUCUUUUUCCUUUUAUGUACGAACUAUGUUUGACCUUAAUUCCCAAGAAAAGGAUACGUAGGUGGCCCAUAUCGGCUUCGCUCAACCCCUUAGGAAAAUUUAUACUUUUCUUUCAUGUAUAAACUACGUAAUGACCUGAAUUCUCAAGAAUGAGAUACAUAGGCGGCCUAUGUUGGCUUCAGUCAACUCAUUAAAUUUUUCUAUAUAUCUCCAGAGUAGGCCUGAACUAUGUUUAACCUAAUUCUUGCUUCAAUAGGAUAUAUAGGCGCCCUAACAGCUCGAUCCUGUAACCCCAAAAAAUAAAAACUGGGGCAGAAUUUUUGAGAAGGAAUCUCAAAAAUUCACAAGAAGAAGAUCAUCAUCCUACAAAGAGAACAAAGACUAACAAAGACUUCAGAUCCUCUCGAGUUGAUAUCAUAUCAAACAACUUUAAACUGGGGAAAAAAUUUUGAGGAAGGCCUCCAAAUUUCCACCAAACACUGGAUAUAUUUCAAAUUUCCCAGCAGUAGAGGUCAAAGUCAAACUUUUGAAGUCACUAGUUGUGACAAAGUCUAGGUAGACUCAAUUUUCUGCUAUGACAGAACUAUUUGAAGAACCCUCCAACAAUGAUUAUGAGUUUUUGAAAUUCUCCGUUGGAUAUAGUCAAAACCAAGAGGAAGACGUUUGUUGAGCUAGUACAUGACAUGACUGGCAGAGAUUUUCUAAAACUUUUUAGAAACUUUCGAAACUAUUUUCUAAAAUUAAGACUACUUUUAAAAAUCUAUACAAAUUUUUUACUUAGUGAUUGCCUAGACGCCUAUUGGAGAAAGGAGCCGGGAUGGAGGUACCAAUAUGACGAAGCACCUGAAAGAUGGUGAGGAGCAAAUAAAGGAGUGAAGAAGGUCAACACGGAGUAGUUUCACUCAAACAAAUCAUUUUUCUAUGGAUGCAGGGAUCAAUACACAAAAAUAAGUCUUUUUUAAAAAAUCCUCGAGCAAGUUAGGAGCCACACCAGAGAAUAUGAUGCUCGAGAAGGGUAUUUUUUGGUACCCCCAAAGAUAGGUUAAUACACAUUUAUUAAAGACCUUUUGAAUUGUCUAUAUCAUUUCUUGAGACCAUGAAGGACAAACAAAGGCGUCAUAUCUUCUUUAUAAAUAUUGUAUUGAGAAUUGUUCUAAAAAAUAGCCCCUAGCAAAAGUGACUUUAUGUCUACUGACUAUCUACCUUGUGCACAGGUACACAUAUAAAACAAAAAUGUAGACAAAAGGAUUCAGGCGAAACCAUCUUCAUUGUCCAAAGGGCCAUUCUAUCUCAUUCCAUUGCCAAGAGGGCCAUUGCAUAUCAUCCUCAUUAAAUAUCUAAUGAUGUGCAAGAUAUCAUACGCUGGCGCCAAGGGUAUCAUCUGCAUUAAAUAUCUGAUAAAGCAUGAGAUAUCAUAUGCUGGCAUCGAGGGUAUCAUCUGCAUUAAAUAUCUGAUGACGCGCGAGCUACCAUACACUGGCAUCGAGGGUAUUAUUUGCAUUAAAUAUCUGAUGACGCAUGAGAUAUCAGACGCUGGUAUGGAGGGUAUCAUCUGUAUUAAAUAUAUGAUGACGCACGAGAUAUCAUACGCUGUCGUUGAGGGUAUCAUUUGCACUAAAUAUCUGAUGAUGCACGAGAUAUCAUGCGCUGCCGUUGAAGGUAUCAUUUGUAUUAAAUAUUUGAUGAUGCGUGAGAUAUCAUACGAUGACGUUGAGGGUAUCAUCUACAUUAAAUAUCUGAUGACACGCAAGAUAUCAUAUGCUAGCAUCAAGGGUAUCAGCUGCAUCAAAUAUCAAAUAACGCACGAGAUAUCAUACGCUAGUGUCGAGGGUAUCAUCAGCACUAAAUAUCUUAUGAAGUGCUAGAUAUCACACACUGGCAUUGAGGGUAUCAUUUGUAUUAAAUAUCUGAUUACAUAUGAGAUAUCAUACACUAGCAUCGAGGGUAUCAUAUGCAUUAAAUAUCUGAUAGCGCAUGAGAUAUCAUACACUAGCAUCGAGAGUAUCAUCAUCUAAUAUCUAUUGACACGCGAGAUAUCAUACGCUGGCAUCGAGGAUAUCAUCAAUAUCUAAUAUCUAUUGACACGUGAGAUAUCAUAUACUGGCAUCGAGGAUAUCAUCAUCAUCAAUAUCUGUUGACAUAUGAGAUAUCAUAUGCUAGCAUCGAGAAUAUCAUCAUCAUCAAUAUCUCUUGAGACGCAGGAUAUCAUAUGCUAGUGUUGAGGGUAUCAUCAGCAUCUAAUAUCUCUUGACACCUCAGAUAUCAUACGCUGGCAUUGAGGAUAUCAUCAUCAUCAAUAUCUGUUGACAUGCGAGAUAUCAUACACUGGCGUCGAGGAUAUCAUUAAUAUUUACUAUCUGUUGACAGACGAGAUAUCAUACACUAGCGUCGAGGAUAUCUCAUCUUGAAUCAGCAUUUGAGUACAUCAGAAACACGAGAUUCAAACUACACAUGAGAUUUCCUAGAAAUUGAUAAUUUGAGGUUCAUCUAUUUGUCAUAUUAUUUGAAAUACGAUAGUAUGCAAGAUUACCUUUGAGUUGAUAGACCAUUAGUCAUCCGUAAGCCGCAACAGCAUCCUAACCGGAUAGUGUGCAAGGUUACCCAAAAAUUGAUAGAUCAAAGGUUAUACAUAAGUCGCAAAAUCCUUACUGAAGAAUAUAUGAGAUUAUCAAAUUGAUAAGUCCAAGGUUUCUUUAUAAGCAGCGUCAUAUCCAAGAUCAAUUAUGUGUAGAAUUACCCAAGGACUAGCAAUUUAAGAGAUAUCUAUAAGUCAUAUUGUAUCCAAGGUUGGAUGAUAUGUAGGAAUAUCUGAUAACUAGAGAUUGGAGGGAUAUAUGUAAGUCAUCUCUUAUUCAAGGUUGUGUAAUGUGCAGGGUUACCUAAAGGCUAGCAAUUCAGAGGAUAUUUGUAAUUCGCCUCAUAUCCAACAUCAAAUAAUGUGCAAGAUUAUCCAAAGAUUGUCAAUUCAAGGGAAAUUUAUAAGUCAUAUCGAUACAAAAGAUGUGCAAGACUUACUCGAGAUCAUAUGAAAAGAAUUAGUAUCAAUAAUCGGAAAGGUUAUCAUUCCAACAACAAGCAUUAUAGGUGACCAAAAGGGUUUCCGCAUCAACAAAAGAUUACACGAUUACAGGGACUAUUCUACAUAAAGUGUCGGCACUGUCCAAAAAGGACACCCACUAUACGGACAUAUUCAAUCUACAGAUGAGACAAUUAUACAACAACCAAGAGGAUUUUUAUGUCUGUUGUUCCAAGUUAUUUUCUUCCAAAUAGGUACACAAAAGGAUGACUUCGCUUUUCACGCAACAACCCAUGUGGAGAUAUGGUAAAAGACCACAGACCUCUUUCGUGAAUUAUGUUUAGCACUAACACUUUUGUUUGAAAUAUUGUCGAAAGCAUCCGGGAGGAUGAAAAUCUCAAAUCAAAACCAUAGGUAUGGAUGAUUCCAGAUAGGACGUAGCACAAUGUGGAACUCUUUCUUAGCAGCAAAAUGGGAUGUAGUCUAAAAAAGGACGUCAAACUCCUUAAAAUCGAGCUAAAAGAUGAUCGCCACCACCAUCCAACUACACCUCUAUUAGAAGGCAUUUGGGAAUAUUCUGGUUUCAGCUUCACCUUUGAGAUAUUUCUAACCUCAUACCGAGGGUAAACUUCUCUUUCUUUCAAAUUCGAGUGAUAGGGCACCUAGAGUUUUGGAAAUUAUGUUCAGGUAAGUUCUUACCUAUGGAUGUGAAGAGAUCAAUGUUCAUGGUUAAGAGGUUACAAGCCUCUUUUUCAUAACUCGAACAACUUUUCACUCAUCUUGAGCCAAAGAUCGUCUGAAAUAAAAGACUAUCUUUUCUACCGAUUAAGUCAAACUACAAGUAGUCUGAUUCCCUGAGUCUUGGGGAUAUGUAGGUUGGGAUCUAUACAAAAAAAUUGACUGCAUUCCAACUUCCCCCCAAAUCCCUCUAUUCCCCAGCUUUUCAAUUUUACCAAACAACUCCAAAACUAAGAUAGUUGGUGAAUUUUUUGAAAUCACGCUUCAAAUCAAGAUUUAUGAACUACAAGUGGCCUGAAUUAUCAUGAAAGUUGAGAUAUGAAGGAAACUUGAUACUGAGGUCUGUCCAUAACUCCAUGAAACUCGUGCGAAAAUCGACCUCUUUCAGAUUCAAAUUUUGUUGUCAGACAAAAAAUUAGAAAUGUCAACCUCUCUUUGCCCAGGGUUAAUUGCUUCCACCCUACCCAAAGGGAAGGGGAAGUUGUUGACACCUAAUUUUUUUCCUCCGCGACUAAAUUUCAUCUUGGGUUUCUUCAAUUUUUAGUUAAAAGUGAAAUAUUUAUUUCAUCUUGAUAAAUGCGCUCUAGAAUAUUUAUUUUGGCUAAUUGCGUUAUUUAAGUGACGACUAUACAUUUUCAUAUUCACGUAUAUGAGAUCUUAUUAAUUUUGUUACUUAAAUGAAUAUUUUUAUAGAAUAUUAGACUUUUAUUUAGAUUGAGCUUGAAAAUUAUUUCAAAAAGGGUAAAAUCUUGAUCUAAAUAUAAUUUGUUCUUGAAAAUAGUUUAUUUGGAAAAUAUGAAUUUGAUUUUUGUUAAAUGAAGAAGCCCGAGAUUAAACAAGGUAUUAAUUCGUAUCAAAUUUUGAUUUAAUUUAGUUAAUUUAUUAAGUUCGGUCAUAAUUGAAAUCGAUUGGCCACAAUCACAAAGCAAUUGAUCAAAUUGAUUUUUUAAUUUGAUCAAAAUCUUAAUCAAAUUAGGCUAAAUCCUAAAUUUGGGGGUUAUGUUUUAAAUAAACCCCCAAACUAAUCCAAUUCAACAUCAGCACCACCCAGGCCCAAUAUUUUCAUCACCAGAUCAAUACCCUCGUCAGGCAUAACAACGACCUGACCCAAAACCUUUAAUUCUAUUCUUUUCCUUCAAAACAACAACAUCAUCGACAAUAAUACAAUACAACACACCAAAGCAACGACUUCAACAUUGACCAACAUCAACGCAAUCUCUCAUCAAGAACAACAAACCCAAACCUAUACCCAAUCACAACACCAAAAUCGAAACUUCAACCCGAAUUAAAUCUCGACAACUCGAAUUAAAAUAACUGCUAAAUCCAAAUCCAAAAACCUUUUCAAAUUUGGAAUGUUUGUACUAUUCUCGUACAACAUAUAGCUGUCAAACUGCAUCACCAAAAAGGAAUUCCUAAAAAACCCAAAAUUACCCCCGUUGACCUCUUUUCCCACAUCGAUUGAACACUAAAUGGGGAGCCCAGAUUUCCCUAUAAAAGAGACACGGCAGAGAGGAAAGAGACCAAGUCUAAAAAAGAGGGAAAAACCAUUUUUGAGUAAAAUCAAUAAAAAAUUUUAUUUUUAGAAAAAAAAUUAGCCGUCAUUGGUUGGAAUUCUCAAAGAAUCGACUUCCGGUGGUGGUGGAGUCCGACAUUAGCUCGAUGUUCUAUUUUGCUGCUCUGAAAGAGGUAAACACCUCUUUCUUUGAUAUUUGUUAUCAUUUUUUUCUUCUUUAUGAAUCCAUAGUCGUAAAUGUUGUUUGCUGGGAAUAAGUUAUUAUAGACAGGCUUGAAGGCCAUAGUCUCAUUUGAUAAAGAUUGUGGCUUUCAACGUAUUGAUGUGUUAGCAUAUUUAGGUUUCUGGUUUCUAUUUAUUUUCAUAAAAGUUUGCUAUUUUUGAUUUUCCAUUGGUGAUCUUAGCUUUUUAGUUCUUUAAAGUUUGAAUGUUGCUCAAAGUAUAUGUUUUGCUUGUUAAUCCUCGAUUCAUGUUAUCGGUGUUUCCACAUGCUUGGUUUCUGAUUGAUUGAACAUUGUUUAAUAUAGGAUUAGACUAGUGUUCUUAUCAUGGUUGUUAGCUUACAUGUUUAAUUGAAAGAUUUAUUUCGUAAAGUUCACUUUUGGUGUUUUGUUUUAAAUGGAGACUGGGGUUUAAGUUUCUUUGUCCUUUAAUACUAAUGUUAGAAACUAAACCAUAACAAGGUCACCAAUCCAAUGACUUCUUAAAAAUUAUUUCUACUCUUGUAGAUCAUUUCUUAGAAUGUUGAAAGAGGAUGGGGAUUAGAAUGGUAUGAUCUCACAUUUUUCUUCUCCAACAGAUUGUUUGAUUUUCUCUUAAAACAUGUUUUUUGUAGUGUAGUAUGUGCUUAUUUUUUCAUCUAAAUCAAAGUCUCUUUUUGGGAAAUAAAAGAUAGAGUCUCUACACGCGCUUGGUAUUCAUAUUAUUGAGUAUAAUUUAUCGUGACAAAAUAGCGUGGUUGGCAUUUGGAGUUAUACACUUUCGAGUACCUUAGCCCUUUUUAAAACAAUCUAACUAGAACUCUACCCUUGCGUUUUCCAAAACCUUGCAGUAACUCUAAGGAAAAUAUAAUACUCACUUUAUCUAGUGUGGAUAUGAUGUUUACCUUUGUUAAAUUAUAGAUAUUUUGUCUCCUGUAGAUGGGAUCUUUCUAAAUUUGUGUAAAUUGUCAAUUCUUGUUUUUUUAGGAGUUCAAUUAGGUUUGUGGCCAGGUCCCGUUCUUCAUUUAUUCCUAACCUUCAAGUUUCUCUUGAAUUGAAUCAGUGUUAGUUUGAGAGAUGGAAUCUAUUAUCGGAUAAAAGUUAAUUGCGAAGUUAUCCUAGAAAAGCGUGAUCUCUUGCAAAUCUUUUGGUGCAAAAACUAUUAAAGAAUCCAAUAUGAAUGCAUAAGAUGGUGUAACCCCAGUUGGUGUGCAUUUUAUUUCUUCAAAUUACAAUAAAUUAGUUUUUCUAUCAUACAGUAUGUUUGAAAUCAUUAAGGUGAUUGAUUAUUUGAAUAUCCAUUUUCCUUAUCUUAUUUUUAUUAUCCAUUUUAUUGUUGCUUGUCUUUGGUCCAUUCAUUUAUUAUUGAAAUUUGGAUUCCUUAAAAUGGUCACUAGUAGAAGGAUAUCACGAGGUAUCAUUUUGGUGUUCUUACUUUUAAAAUUGGUUUUGAAUAGGGUAAUAUUUAAGUAUCAGGUUUCUAAUGUGUUGAUUUACUUUUCCCUUUGCAUUUUGGAUAUGUUUUGAUUUCUUUUCUUUCAUCUUUCGCAUAUGAAUCCGCUUUGGAGUUCAAACCAGCUCCCUCCUUUUUGCAUUUCAUAAUGGGCCAAUAAGGCCCAUCUUUUGAGUCGAGUUCUGCAAUUACUGCAAGAUCGAUUGACUUUUGGAUAAAGAAGUUGAUAUUGAUGGAAGAGGAAAAUAGGUUGAUACCCAUUGGUGAAAAUUUGUCAAACUUGUAUUGUUUGUUUUAUUAUUUUUUUCUGCUUCUUUAUCUAUUUAUUCAUUCAUUUGGGCCUCGAAGCCAAAGUUGUAAUUUUAAUACAGGUCAAGCGGAUUUUGGGCCAAAAGGUCCAAAAAAAUGAUUCGAGACAGGUUAUGGGCUAAAAGCUCAAUAUUUAGAUUAAGACAGGUGACGACGGGACAAAAGCCCAAAUGGAUAGUUUAGGACAGGUGCAAGCAGGUUUGGGACUAAAAGCCUAAUCUCAUUUUUUACCUUUUACUUUUCUAUGUUUAUUUGCUAUUUGUGCCUUAAAAUUUAGUUAAAUUCCUUACUAAGUCAUCAAAUUGAUUUUACACAAGUUUUGUUUUAAAUCACUUUUUUUUAAAAAUCAAUCUUUUUAAAGUUAGUCAAAAGAUAUUUUCAAACAGUCCGGAUAACCGCAAGUUAGCGAACGUUUUAGAUGUCUUAAACCUUCUUAAAACGUUAAUAAGAACCGCUUACUCAGAAUCUUUAAAUUUUAAUGAUUUUUUCUGUUUUGGAUCGUUUAAAGUAUUUCAUAAAGAUUUUUUAAUUCCUUUUCAAAAUUAAGUGGCGACUCUGAAAGGAAAAUUUUUGCAAAACAAAAAUGGUGACUCUGCUGGGGAUUCUAACUAGGUUCUAACCAAAUGUUUGAUUUCAUCUAUUGACUAACUGUUUAAAUUGCUUACGUAUUUAUGUGUUUCAAUUUUGCAGAAUUUAAUUAUUGCAUUUGAUGGCAUGGUCCUGCAUUGAUUAUUAAUUUGUUUUGGGGGGUUUUGUGGAUGUCCCAACCCUUAUUGUUCACCUCUAAAUCAAAUGUUGGAAAUAUGACAGUUUACUGGCACAUUGGGCAGUCGAAGGCUGAUCAUGUUUUCAAACUCAAGUUUUUCGCUUGGGAACAUGUGUCCAAACCCACUCUAGACACCUAGGAUAUAGCGAAACCAAAACCCUAUUUUAGGUAUAAGUCUAGAACGACUAUUGUGCCUAUUAGAAAACUUUCCAUGCAUCUAUUGACCCCGAGUUAAUUACAGAUAAAUCAUAUCUAUGUGUUGAAGAAGAAUAUAUUUUAUUUAAUCCAAUCUAUUAUCUUGCUCUGCUUUCGUGUAAGGAUUCCUUAAUCAUACACCAAUUGAGAGAGGAAUUGAAGCAAACCAAGAAAGAAACUAAUCGAUUUAGACGGUUGCAUCUAAGGCACAACUAUACGGAAAUAGCUUGAUUAUCAACGGAUGUUGUCAAUGACAAGAAGUGGACAAAGAUAAGAAGGCGAAGGCCGAUAGAAGAAACAUUCAGGAUUUAGUAUUUCCUAUCCCCUGCGUGGGACAUCAUUUUUUUUCUCAUGUGAUUUCCCUUUCCCUAAAGAUUGUACCCCCUUUGUGGAACUUUUGUAGGCAUUUAUGCCAUUUAUGUAUAUCUAUGAAAUUGGGGGAUAAUGGAUUGGCUUUAAAAAAGACAUAUUUUUUUCAACGUUUGUUAGGCCUAAACCCCUGGCUCAAAAGGGUCACUUUAGUUAGGAUACACGUUAUUAUAAUGUUUUUAUGCAAUAUAACUGCCUUAUGUGUUUAUGUACGUUAGUUUGAAUCAAAGGCAAGUUUUCCACUAUGCUCAUGUGGAUUAAUUUGGUUACGACACAAAUGACUCUACGUGGUUAUUACUUGUCAAGUAUCUUACAUUACUUAUCACAUAUGGAAACUAACACAUGUGCCUUUGAGUUAUUUUACUUUAAAGAUAAUAUAAAACUACUCCGUGUUGAAAUAAGCUGGCAGAACAUCCUUACUUCACUCGGUCAAAAGCACAUAAGAUACCAUCCCCUAAUUAUCAUUCAAACAUGACUGGAAGUGAUGAAGAAAAUUCAUUGACCAUCAGGGACAAUGUGAUAACGGAACAAAGUGAGAUGAUUGCUGAACUUGCGAGAAAAUUGUAAAUACUUCAGGAGGAGAUGAAUUGUACUCGAGACUUGGCUAACCUGGCCAUCACUGUAGAUCUACCAGAAGGAUACAAAGUCCCUAAAUUUGAAGUAUUCGAUGGUACUAAAAAUCCUAUGGCCUAUUUGAGAAGGUAUCAUGAUCAAAUGGUAGGGAUAGGAAAAAAUGAGGCAUUAUUGAUCUGCCUGUUCAGCCAAAGCUUAAGCGGGGAAGCCUUAGAUUGGAUCACAUCUCAAGAAUUGAAAAGAUGGACUAGUUGGAGGGCAUUGGCUAAAUCUUUCCUUGAUAGGUUUGAGUUUAACAUUGAAAUAGUCCCUGACUGAUACCCAUUAGACCGGAUCAAGCAGAAGACUGAUGAGUGUUUCCGAGACUAUGCCUUCCGUUGGAGGAAAGAAAUUGUGAAAGUACAACCUCCCAUGUCUAAGAUAGAAAUGGUAUCGAUUUGCUCUAGCACUCAGGAGGUAGAAUUUUUCACUAGGAUGGUAUCUGCAGUUAGGGAAAAUUUUAUAGAUUUGGUAAAAAUUGGGGAAUCGCUAGAGGAAGGCAUUCCAACGAGAAAGAUUGUUGAAACCCCAACAUCUGAAUCUUCUGCAGUCUCAAAGAAGAAGAGAGAGGAUGUGACUGCGGUCUCUACUAAUUUUGUGGAUAAAUUAAAGAAGAAAUUCAAGCCAAGGAAUAUUCUUUCCUCACCUCCAUCAUCAAGUUUUUAGCUUGUAUUCUACGCCCAAUCCCAAUACCAAGCUCCGCUUCCAAAUAUUUUACCCAAGUACGAAGUUCCGCAGCCAAAUUAUCAGUCUCAUGUUCAAGCUAUUCUUCCAAACAACCAAAUAAAAAUACAAGAGCCUCAAAACAAUCAUCAAGUACAUCUUCCCGCUAAUCAAAUCAGUAUGACCCCCAACAUCCAAACCUAAACAAAAAACUCGCCGAAACUUCAUGUCGCUGGAUGAAAGUUACACCCAACUCUUUGGGAUAUUGAAGGAUGCUGGUCAUUUACAGCCUAUCCAUCCAAAGCUUAUCAAUCCCAACUCCCGAUUUUAUCAUGCAGAUCAAAACUGUGCUUAUCAUUCAGGAGCGGCGGGGCACAACACUGAGGAUUACGUUAGCUAAAAGCAUAAGAUUCAAGAUCUGAUUAAUCAGAAGGUCAUCAUGCUUCAGUCGUCAGAACCAAACGUCAACAGUAAUCCAUUGCCUAAUCACAAAGAAGGCACGGUUAGCAUGAUCAAAAUAGCAAGCGAAUGGAUUUCUAGAAAAACUAUUACUAAGGUGGAUUCGCAAAAUUCCAAAAAAAAUAAAAAAAGUAGUAAAGAUAGAGAAAGUCGUGGCUGCUUUGAGUGUCUUGAGUAAGAAUUUGGAAGAAAUUAUUGAGCCCAUUAUGGUCCCAGAAAAAGCAUCUAAGUAUGGGUUAGGAUACCAGCCAAUAGAGGAGGAUAAAAUUGAGGAUAAGUCAAAGACGAGUCUCCAUAGGCCCUUGCCGCUCCUGUACCAGUCAUUUCUCAUGCGUGAGAUAUCAAAUAAUGAUAGCCUUGGGGUUGGGAUAGGAAAUCUGCACGAGGGAUGCAAUAUUGUACCAAAAAAUUUUCCAAAGUACGGUAGGGUGAAAAAGGUUGAACCAGGAGAAGCUUUGCAAAAUUGGACAUCCACUCCAUUCAUAACUCGUCGCCCAUCAUGAUAGAUGAAAGGGAAAUUACUAGUAGUUUUAAAAAAUUGGUGAUGAUCCGGAGGAGGCCCCGUGAUCCCCCUUUUUAUAUCCCACAUUUUCAUUUCAUUUUUUACAAGUGACGACGGGACAAAAGCCCAAAUGGAUAGUUUAGGACAGGUACAAGCGGGUUUGGGACUAAAAGCCUAAUCUUAUUUUUUACCUUUUCCUUUUCUAUGUUUAUUUUCUAUUUGUACCUUCAAAUUUAGUUAAAUUCCUUACUAAGUCGUCAAAUUGAUUUUACACAAGUUUUUUCCUAAAUAACUUUCUUUUAAAAUCAAUCUUUUUAAAGUUAGUCAAAAGAUAUUUUCAAACAGUCCGGAUAACCGCAAGUUAGCGGACGUUUUUGGUGCCUUAAACCUUCUUAAAAUGUUAAUAGGAACCGCUUACUCAGAAUCUUCAAAUUUAAAUGAUUUUUUUUAUGUUUUGGAGCGUUUAAAGAAUUUCAUAAAGGUUUCUUAAUUUCUGUUCAAAAUUAAGUGGCGACCCUGAAAGGCAAAUUUUCGCAAAACAAAAAUGACGAUUCUACUGGGGAUUCUAACUAGGUUCUAACCAAAUGUUUGAUUUCAACUAUUGACUAACUGUUUAAAUUGCUUACGUAUUUAUGUGUUUCAAUUUUGCAGAAUUUAAUUAUUGCAUUUCAUGGCAUGGUCUUGCAUUGAUUAUUAAUCUGUUUUGGGGUUUCGCGGAUGUCCCAUCCCCUAUUGUUCACCUCUAAAUCAAAUGUUAGAAAUACGACAGUUUAUCGGCAUGUUAGGCGGUCAGAGGCUGAUCUUGUUUCCAAACUCAUGUUGUCCACUUAGGAACAUGUGUCCAAACCCACUCUAGACACCUAGGAUAUAGCGAAACCAAAACCUUAUUUUAGGUAUGAGCCUAGGAUUACCCAAUACCCGAGGGAAUAUUUGGCCCAUUAGAAAACUUGCCUUACGUCUACUGACCCCGAGUUAAUUACUGAUGAAUCAUAUUUACGUGUUAAAGAAGAAUAUAUAUUUGUUUAAUCCAAUCCAUUAUACUUUGGGGGUUGGGAAAGAAACUGGCUUUGCUUUCAUGUAAGGAUGCCUUAAUCAUACACCAAUUGAGAGAGGAAUUGAAGCAAACCAAGAAAGAAAUUGAUCGAUUUAGAUGGUUUCAUCUAAGGCACAGCUAUACGGAAAUAACUUGAUUAUCAACGGAUGGCGCCAAUGAAAAUAAGUGGACAAAGCUAAGAAGGCGAAGGCCAAUAGAAGAAACAUUCAGGAGUUAGUAUUUCCUAUCCGCUAUGUGGGAGAUCAAUCAUUUUCUCAUGUGAUUUUCCUUUCCCUAUUGAUUGUACCCCUUUUGUGCAACUUUUGUAGGCAUUUAUCCCAUUUAUGUAUAUCUAUGAAAUUGGGGGGAUAAUGGAUUGGCUUUAAAAAAGACAUAUAUUUUAUUCAACGUUCGUUAGGCCUAAACCCUUGGCUCAAAAGGGUUACUCUAGUUAGGAUACGCGUUAUUAUAAUGUUUUUAUGCGAUAAAACUGUCUUAUGUGUUUAUAUGCAUUUGUUUGAAUCAAAGGCUAGUUUAUCCACUAUGCUCACGUGGAUUAAUUUGGCUAGGACACAAACGACUCUACGUGGUUAUUUCUUGUCAAGUAUCUUGCAUUACUUAUCACAUAUGGAAACUAACACAUUUGCCUUCGAGUUAUUUUACAUUAUAGAUAAUAGAAAACUACUCAGUGUUGAAAUAAGUUGGCAGGACAUCCUUACUUCACUCGAUCAAAAGCACAUAAGAUCCCAUCCCCUAAUCAUCAUUCAAACAUGACCGAAAGUGAUGAAGGAAAUGCAUCUACCAUCAGGGAUGGUGAAAUAACGGAACAAAGUGAGAUUAUUGUUGAACUCGUGAGAAAAUUGGAAAUGCUUCAGAAAGAGAUAAACCAUACUAGAGACUUGGCUAACCUGGCCAUCACUGUAAAUGCUCCCGCUUCAGGAGGUCACGGGACUCCACGCCAAAUCACUCUUCUCAGUAUGCCUGUUCUCAGGGACCAUCCAAAUAAUAUAUCGUCCUCUUUCGCUCCUCAAUUUAUAAAAAACACCAAUUGAGAAAAUAACCCAGAUGCUUACCAUACGCUAAAUCUAUCCCUAACCCCACAAAAUCCGUUUCCAAAUCCACAAGAUUCAUUUUUGAAUCCCCAAAACCUAUUUUCAAACCCACAAAACCCGCUUCCAAAUCCAUAAAAUUUGUUUCCAAAUCUACAAAGUCCACCCCCAAAUCUACCAAAUCCAUCUCCUAAUCCAUAAAUUCAUUUUGGAAUCCACAAAAUCCUUCCCAUAUACCACCAAACUACUUUCAAAUCAAACAAUACUUUUCAAAUUUCCAAAAUGUCCUCCCCACCUACCAUCUAACCUCCUCUCAUCCUCAAAAUCAAGCUACCAUUUUAAAUCUUCCUUAUGUCAUCAUAUCCCCUGAUAUCUAUAAUUCCUUUUCUAAUCACGAGAUAGACCAUUAUGAGAAGAAGGAAAAAGAGUAGAGGAUCGAGUAUGAAAUGAAGUUACUGGCUAUGAAUGAAGAGAUUAUGAGGAUCAAGGAAUAUCAUGAGUGGGGAACAAUGAUAGUCUAGAUUACGAUGAUCUAUGUGUUCACCCUGGAGUAGAUCUACCAGAAGGAUACAAAGUCCCUAAAUUUGAAGUAUUCGAUGGAACUAAAAAUCCAAUGGCCUAUCUGAGGAGGUAUCAUGAUCAAAUUGUGGAGAUAGGAAAAAAUGAGACAUUACUGAUACGCCUGUUCAGCCAAAGCUUAAGCGGCAAAGCCUUAGAUUGGUUUACGUCUCAAGAACUUAAAAUAUGUACUAGUUAGAGGGCAUUGGCUAAAGGUUUCCUUGAUAGGUUUGCAUUUAACAUUGAAAUAGUCCCUGACCGAAACUCAUUAGACCAGAUCAAGCAGAAGAAUGAUAAGUGUUUUUGAGACUGUGCCUUCCAUUGGAGGAAGGAAGCUGCCAAAGUACAACCUCCCAUGUCUGAGAAGAAAAUGGUAUCUAUUUACUCUCAUGCUCAGGAGGGAGAAUUUUUCACUAGGAUGGUAUCCGCAUUUAGGGCAACUUUUAUAAAUUUGGUAAAAAUUAGGGAAUAGCUAGAGAAAGGAAUUCGAAUGGGAAAGAUUGUCCAAACCCCAACAUCAUCUGAAUCUUUUGCAUUCUCAAAAAAAAAAAAGAGAAUGUGACUGCGGUCUAUACUAAUUUUGUGGCUAAAUUAAAGAAGAAAUUCAAGAUGAGGAAUAUUCUUUCCUUACCUCCAUCAUCAAGUUUUUAGCUUGUAUUCUAUGCCUAAUCCCAAUACCAAGCUCUGCUUCCAAAUAUUUUACCCCAUUACAAAGUUUCACAGCCAAAUUAUCAGUCUCAUGUUCAAGCUAUUCUUCCAAACAACCAAAUAAACAUCCUAGAGCCAACAAACUAUCAUCAGGUACCUCCUCCCGCUAAUUAAAUCAAUAUGACCCUCAACGACCAAACCUCGAAAUAAGACCUCCCCAAAACUUCACGUAGCUGGCUGAAAGUUGCACCCAACUCUUUGGGAGAUUGAAGGAUGUCAGUCAUUUACAGCUUAUACAGCCAAGCUUAUCAAUCCCAACUCUUGAUUUUAUCAUGCUGAUCCAAAUUGUGCUUAUCAUUCAGGAGCGGCGGGGCACAACCUGAGGAUUGCGUUAGCUUAAAGCAUAAGAUUCAAGAUUUGAUUGAUUAGAAGGUCAUCAUGCUUCAGUCUCUGGCACCAAAAAUCAACAGUAAUCCAUUGAAUAAUCACAAAGGAGGCAUGGUUAUCAUGAUUGAAAUAGCAGGCGAAUAGGUAUCUAGCAAGACUAUUACUAAGGUAGAUUCGCAAAAUUCCAUAAAAAUAAAAAAAUAGAAAAGAUAGAGAAAGUUGUGGCUGCUUUGAGCGUCUUAAGUAAGAAUUUGGAAGAAAUCAUUGAGCCCAUUAUGGUCCCAGAAAAAGUAUUUAAGUAUGGAUUAGGAUACCAGCCAACAGAGGAGGAUAAGAUUGAUGAUAAGUCAAAGACGAGUUUGUGCAGGCCCUUGCCUCUCCUGUACCAGUCAUUUCUCGUGCGUGAUAUGUCAAAUAAUGAUGGCCUUGGGGAUGGGAUAGGAAAUAUGUUCGAGGGAUGCAAUGUUGUACUAGAAGAUUUUCCGAAGUUCAGUGGGGUGAAGAAGGUUGCACCAAGAGAGGCUUUAUAAAAUUGGACCUCCACUCCAUUCAUAACUCGUCCCCAGCAUGAUAGAUGAAAGGGCAAUUACUAGUAGUUUUAAAAAAUCAGUGAUGAUCUGGAGGAGGCCCCAUGAUCCACCUUUCUAUAUCCUAAAUUUUCAUUUCAUUUUUUAUAGCUUUCAAAAAGGCAUAGGCCCGCAUUUUCGCGAGUCAUGAGCCAUAGUUUUUAUUUAUUUUUCAAAAUUCCUCCCUUCAUUUAAGAAUUUAUUUUUGAAAUAUGAUUAUAUUAUUAUCUUUUUAUCAUCUAACUUGGUUUCUUUCAAAAAAGUAAUUUAAACCCUACCAAUAUUAUGUCAUGUCAAGGAUUAGACGAACAAAGCGGGGGUAAUGAUGAUGAAUAGAAAAGGUGAUGAGGAGAAAUUAGUGGAAGAUAUAGAGGAAUUUGAAAACUGAAAGAAGCCCAACCUGGAGGCGCCCUAAUCCUACCUGAGAUUGAUGGUCAAGAGUGGACCAAACCAAUCAAUUCUGAUGCGGUAAAGAUAUAUUGUGUUUGAAAGAUGUUUUAGUUUUUGUUUCCUUGGCUUAUUUGUAAUCGCCUUUGUGAUAGUAUCUAUUUUAUGAUGUGUAAUUUCCUAGAAUCCCUUUCCUAUCAUGUACGAACUACAUUUGACCUAAAUUCCCAAGAAAGGGAUACGUAGGUGGCCUAUGUCGUCUUCGGUCAACUCCUUAGAAAAAUUUAUACUUUUCUUUCAUGUAUAAACUACGUGAUGACCUGAAUUCUAAAGAAUGAUAUACGUAGGCGGCCUAUGUCAGCUUCAGUCAACUCAUUAAAUUUUUCUAUACAUCCCUAGAGUAGUCCUGAACUACGUUUGACCUAAUUCCUACUUCAAUGAGAUACGUAGGCACCCCAACGGCUCGAUCAUGUAACCCCAGAAAAUGAAAACUUGGGCAAAAUUUUUGAGAAGGAAUCUUGAAAAUUCACAAGAGGAAGAUCCUCAUCCAACAAAGAGAACGAAGACUAAUAAAGACUUCAAAUCCUUUCAAGUUGAUAUCAUAUCAAACAACUUUAAACUAGUUCAGAAAUUUUGAGGAAGGCCCCAAAAUUUCCACCAAACACUGGGAUAUAUUUCAAAUUCCCCAGCACCAGAGGUCAAAGUUAAACUUUUGAAGUCACUAGCUGUGACAAAGUCUAGGUAGACUCAAUUUUUAGCUAUGACAGAACUAUUUGAAGAACCCUCUAACAAUGAUGAUGAGUUUUGGAAAUCCUCAAUUGGAUAUAGUCAAAACCAAGAGGAAGACGUUUGUUGAGCUAGCAUAUGACAUGACUGGCAGAGAUUUUCUAAAGCUUUUUAGAAACUUUCGAACUAUUUUCUAAAAUUAAGACUACUUUCAAAAAUCUAUACAAAUAUUUUACAUAGUGAUUGCCUAGACGUCUAUUAGAGCAAGGAGCCGGGGUGGAGGUACUAAUAUGAUGGAGCACCUAAAAGAUGGUGAGGAGCAAAUAGAGGAGUGAAGAAGGUUAACAUGGAGUAGUUUCACUCAAACUAAUCAUUUUUCUAUGGAUGCAGGGUUCAAUACACAAAAAUGAGUCUUUUUCAAAAAAUCCCCAAGCAAGUUGGGAGCCACACCAGAGAAUAUAAUGCUCGAGAAGGGUAUUUUUUGGUAGCCCCAAAGACAGGUUAAUACCCAUUUAUUAAAGACCUUUUGAAUUGUCUAUCUCAUUUCUUGAGACCAUGAAGGACAAACAAAGGCGCCUUAUCUUCUUUAUAAAUACUGUAUUUAGAAUUGUUCUAAAAAAUAGUCCCUAGCAAAAGCGACUUCAUGUCUACUAACUAUAUACCUUGAGCACAGGUACACAUAUAAAACAAAAAUGCAAACAAAAGGAUUCAGGCGAAACCAUCUUCUUUGUCAAAAGGGCCAUUCUAUCUCAUUCCAUUACCAAGAGGGCCAUUGCAUAUCAUCCUCAUUAAAUAUCUGAUGACGUACGAGAUAUCAUACGCUGGCGUUGAGGGUAUCAUUUACAUUAAAUAUCUGAUAACACAUAAGAUAUUAUACUCUAGCAUCAAGGGUAUUAUCUGUAUUAAAUAUCUGAUGACACGCGAGCUAUCAUACGCUGGCAUCGAGGGUAUUAUCUGAUUAAAUAUCUGAUGACAUGUGAGAUAUUAUACGCUGGCAUUGGGGGUAUCAUCUAUAUUAAAUAUAUGAUGACGCAUGAGAUAUAAUACGCUAGCAUCGAGGGUAUCAUAUGUACUAAAUAUCUGAUAACGCGCGAGAUAUCAUACGCUGGCGUCGAGGGUAUCAUUUACAUUAAAUAUCUGAUGAUGCAUGAGAUAUCAUAUACUGGUGUUGAGGGUAUCAUCUGCAUUAAAUAUCUGAUGAUGUGUGAGAUAUCAUAUGCUGGAGUCGAGGGUAUCAGUUGCAUUAAAUUUCAGAUAGCGCACGAGAUAUCAUACGCUAGCAUUGAGGGUAUCAUAUGCACUAAAUAUCUCAUAACGUGCGCGAUGUCAUACGCUGGCGUUGAGGGUAUCAUUUGCAUUAAAUAUCUGAUUACAUGCGAGAUAUCAUACGCUAGUGUCGAGGGUAUCAUCUGUAUUAAAUAUCUAAUGAUGCGCGAGAUAUCAUACACUGGCAUCGAGGGUAUCAUCAUCUAAUAUCUGUUGACAUGCGAGAUAUCAUAUGCUGGCGUCGAGGAUAUCAUCAACAUCUAAUAUCUGUUGACACGUGAGAUGUCAUAUGUUGGCAUCGAGGAUAUCAUUAUCAUCAAUAUCUGUUGACACAUGAGAUAUCAUGUGCUGGCAUUGAGGAUAUCAUCAUUAUCAAUAUUUGUUGACACGCGGGAUAUCAUAUGCUGGUGUUGAGGGUAUCAUCAGCAUCUAAUAUCUCUUGACACAUGAGAUAUCAUACUCUAGUAUCGAGGAUAUCAUCAUCAUCAAUAUCUGUUGACAUACGAGAUAUCAUACGUUGGCAUCAAGGAUAUCAUUAAUAUUUACUAUCUGUUGACACGUAAGAUAUCAUACGCUAGCGUCGAGGAUAUGUCAUCUUGAAUCAGCAUUUGAGUGCAUCAGAAAUACGUGAUUCAAACUACUCAUGAGAUUUCCUAGAAAUUGAUAAUUUGAAGUUCAUCUAUAUGUCAUAUUAUUUGAAAUAUGAUAGUGUGCAAGAUUACCUUUGAGUUGAUAGACCAUAGGUCAUCCAUAAGCCCCAACAACAUCCUAACUGGAUAGUGUGCAAGGUUAUCCAAAAAUUGAUAGUCCGAAGGUUAUCCAUAAACUUAAUCCUUACUGGAGAAUAUGCGAGAUUAUCAAAUUGAUAAGUCCAAGGAUUCUCUAUAAUACGCAUCAUAUCCAAGAUCGAUUAUGUGCAGGAUUAACCAAGGACUAGCAAUUUAAGAGAUAUCUAUAAGUCAUAUUGUAUCCAAGGUCGGAUGAUAUGCAGGAAUAUCUGAGAACUAGUGAUUAGAGGGAUAUCUAUAAGUCAUCUCUUAUCCAAGGUUGGAUAAUGUGCAGGAUUACCUAAAGGCUAGCAAUUCAGAGGAUAUCUAUAAUUCGCCUCAUAUCCAACAUCAAAUAAUGUGCAAGAUUAUCCAAACAUUGUCAAUUCAAGGAAAAUUUAUAAGUCGUAUCGAUACAAAAGAUGCGCAAGACUUACCCGAGAUAAUAUGCAAAGAAUUAUUGUCAAUAACCAAAAAGGUUAUCAUUCUAACAACAAGCAUUAUAGGUGACCAAAAGGGUUUCCGCAUCAACAAAAGAUUACACGAUUGUAGGGACCAUUCUACAUAAAGUGUCGGUAGUGUCCAAAAGGGAUACCCCACUUUGCGGACAUAUUCAAUCGAUAGAUGAAAUAAUUAUGCAACAAUCAAGAGGGUUUUUAUGUCUAUUGUUCCAAAUUAUUUCCUUCCAAAUAGGUACACAAAAGGAUGACUUCGCUUUUCAGGCAACAACCCACGUUGAGAUAUGGUAAAAGACCACAGACCUCUUUCAUGAAUUAUGUUUAGCACUAACACUUUUGUUUGAAACAUUGUUGAGAGCAUCCGGGAGGAUGAAAAUCUCAAAUCAAAACCACAAGUACGGAUGACUCCAGAUAGGAUUCAGCACAACGUGGAACUCUUUCUUAGCAGUAAAAUGGGACAUAGUCUAAAAAGGGACGUCAAAAUCUUUAGAUGCGAGCUAAAAGAUGAUCACCACCACCAUCCAACCACACACCUAUUAGAAGGCAUAUGGGAAGGGAUAUUCUGGUUUCAGCUUCACCUUCGGGAUAUUUCAAAACUCAUACCGAGGGUAAACUUCUAUUUCUUUCAAAUUCGAGUGAUAGGGCACCUAGAGUUUUGGAUAUUAUGUCCAAGUAAGUUCUUCCCUAUGGAUGUGAAGAGAUCCACGUUCAUGGUUAAGAGGUUACAAGCCUUUUUUUCAUAACUCGAACAACUUGUCACUCAUCCUGAGCCAAAGAUCGUCUGAAAUAAAGACUAUCUUUUCUACCAAUUGAGUCAAUUUACAAGCAGCCUGAUUCCCUGAGUCUCAGAGAUAUGUAGGUUGGGAUCUAUGUAGAAAAAUUGACUGCAUUCCAACCUCGCCCCAAAUCCCUCUAUUCCCCAGCUUUUUGAUUUUACCAAAUAACUCUAAAACUGAGAUAGCUGGUGAAUUUUUUGAAAAUCAUGCUUUAAAUCAAGCUUUAUGAACUACAAGUUGCCUGAAUUAUCAUGAAACUUUAGAUAUGUAGGAAACCUGAUACCGAGGUCCGGCCAUAACUCUAUGAAACUCGUGCGAAAGUUGACCUCUUUUAAAUUCAAAUUUUAUGGUCGGACAAAAAAUUAGGAACGUCAACCUCCCUUUGCCCAGGGUUAAUUGCAUCCACCCUACCCAAAGGGAAGAGGCAGUUGUUGACACUUGAUUUUUGUCCUCCACAACUAAAUUUAAUCUUAGAUUUCUUCAAUUUUUUAAUAAAAAGUGAAAUAUUUAUUUCAUCUGGAUAAAUGCGCUCUAGAAUAUUUAUUCGGGUUAAUUACGUUAGUUAAGUGAUGACUAUACAUUUUCGUAUUCACAUAUACGAGAUCUUAUAAAUUUUUUUACUUAAAUGAAUAUUUUUAUAGAAUAUUGGACUUUUAUUUAGAUUGAGCUUGAAAAUUAUUUCAAAAAGGGUAAAAUCUUAAUUUAAAUAUAAUUUAUUCUUGAAAAUAAUUUAUUUGGAAAAUAUGAAUUUAAUUUUUAUUAAAUGAAAAAGCUCGGGAUUAAACAAGGUAUGAAUUCGUAUCGAAUUUUGAUUUAAUUUUGUCAUAAUUGAAAUUGAUUGGCCACAAUCGCAAUGCAAUUGACCAAUUUGAUUUUUUAAAUUUGAUCAAAAUCUUAAUCAAAUUAGGCUAAAUCCUAAAUAUUAGGGGUUAUGUUUUAAAUAAACCCCCAAACCAAUCCAAUUCAAUAUCAGCACCACCCAGGUCCAAUACUUUCAUCACCAGCCUAAUACUAUCAUCAGGCCUAACACCGACCCGGCCCAAGACCUUUAAUUCCUUCUUUCCUUUCAAAACAACAACGUUAUCGACAAUAAUACAAUACAAAACACCAAAACAAUGACUUCAGCAUUGAGCAAUAGCAACGACAAUCUCUCAUCACGAACAACAAACCCAAACCCGUACCUAAUCAUAACACCAAUAUCAAAACUUCAACCCAAAUUAAAUCUCAACGACCCAAAUUAAAUCAACCGCGAAAUCCAAAUCCAAAAACCUUUUCAAAUUUGAAAUGUUUGCACGAUUCUCGUACAAAAUUUAGCUGUCAAACCGCGUCACCAAAAAGGAAUUCCCGAAAAACUCAAAAUUACCCCCGUUGGCCUCUUUUCCCACAUCGAUUGAACACUAAAUGGGGAGCCUAGAUUUUCCUAUAAAAGGGACACGACAGAGAAGAAGGAGACUAACUCUAAAAAGAGGGAAAAACUAUUUUUGAGCAAAAUCAGUAAAAAUUUUCAUUUUUAGUAAAAAUUUUAGUGGUCGAUUUGUCAGAAUUCUCGAAGGAUCGACUUUCGGUGGUGGUGGAGUCCGACGUUAGCUCAAGGUUCUAUUUUGCUACUCCGAAAGAGGUAAACACCUCUUUCUAUUUUGAUUUCUAUUAUCAUUUUUUUCCUUCUUUAUAAAUCCAUAGUCGUAAAUGUUGUUUGCUGGGAAUAAGCUGUUGUAGACGGCCUUGAAGUCCAUAGUCUUAUUUGAUAAAGAUUGUGGCUUUCAACGUAUUGAUGUGUUAGCAUAUUUAGGUUUCUGGUUUUUAUUUAUUUAUAUAAAAGUUUGCUAUUUUUGAUUUUCCAUGGUUGAUCUUAGCUUUUUAGUUCAUUAAAGCUUGAAUGUUGCUCCAAGUAAAUGUCUUGCUUGUUAAUCCUCGAUUCAUGUUAUUGGUGUUUCCACGCGCUUGGUUUCUGAUUGAUUAAACAUUGUUUAAUGUGGGAUUAGAUUAGUAGUCUUAUCAUGGUUGUUAGCCUACAUGUUUCGAGUUUCUUUAGCCUUUAAUGCUAAUGUUAGAAACUAAAACAUGACAAGGUCUCCAAUCCAAUGACUCCUUAAAAUUAUUUUGACUCUUGUAGAUAUGUUCUAAGAAUGUCAAAAGAGGAUAUGGAUUAGAAUGGUAUGAUCUCGCAUUUCUUCUCCGAUAGAUUGUAUGAUUUCUCUUAAAAAAAUAUUUGUUGCAGUGUAGUAUUUCAUCUAAAUCAAAGUUUCUUUUUGGGAAAUAAAAAAUAGUGUUUGUACACGUGCUUAGUAUUCAUAUUGUUGAGUAUAAUUUACCGUGUCAAAAUAGUGUGGUUGGCAUUUGGAGUUAAACACUUUCGAGUACCUUAGCUCUCUUUAAAACAAUCUGACUAGAACUUUACUCUUCCCUCUUCCGAAACCUUGCAGUAACUCUAAAGCAAAUAUAAUACUCAUUUUAUCUAGUGCAGAUAUGAUUUUUACCUUUGUUAAAUUAUAAACAUUUUGUCUCCUGAAGAUGGGAUCUUCCUAAAUUUAUGUCAAUUGUCAAUUCUUGUGUUUUUAGGAGUUAAAUUGGGUUUGUUGUCAGGUCCCUUUCUUCAUUUAUUCCUAACCUUCAAGGUUCUCUUGAACUAAAUCAGUGUUAGUUUGAUAGAUGGAAUAUAUUAUCAGAUAAAAGUUUAUUGCAAAGUUAUGCUAGAAAAGCAUGAUCUCUUGCAAAUCUUUUGGUGCAAAAACUGUUAAAGAAUCCAAUAUGAAUGCAUAAGAUGGUGUAACCCUAGUUGGUGUGUAUUUGAUUUCUUCAAAUUGCAAAAAAUCAGUUUUCCGUCAUACAGUAUGUUUGAAAUCAUUAAGGUGCUUGAUUAUUUGAAUAUCCAUUUUCCUUAUCUUAUUUUUAUUAUCCAUUUCAUUGCUUCUUGUAUUUGGUCCAUUCAUUUAUUUUUGAAAUUUGGAUGCCUUAAAAUGGUCACUAGUAGAAGGAUGUCACAUGGUAUCAUUUUAGUGUUCUUACUUUUAAAUUUGUUUUGAAUAGGGUAGUACUUAAGUAUCAGCUUUCUAAUGUGUUGAUUUACUUUUCCCUUUGCAUUUCGGAUAUGUUUUGAUUUCUUUUCUUUUUUCUUUUCCAUGUGAAUCCGCUUUGGAGUCCAAAUGAGCUCCCUCCUUUUUGCAUUUCAUGACGGGCCAAUAAGGCCCAUCUUUUGAGUCGAGUUCCGCAAUUACUGCAAGACCGAUUGACUUUUGGAUAAAGAAGUUGAUAUUGAUGGAAGAGGAAAAUAGGUUGAUACCCAUUGAUGAAAAUUUGUCAAACUUGUAUUGUUUGUUUUAUUAUUUUGUUCUGCUUCUUUAUCUAUUUAUUCAUUCAUUUAGGCCUCGAAGCUAAAGUUGUAAUUUUAAUACAGAUGAAGCAGAUUUUGAGCCAAAUGGUCCAAGAAGAUGGUUCAAGAUAGGUUAUGGGCUAAAAGCUCAAUAUUUAGAUUAGGACAAGUGACAACAGGCCAAAAACCCAAAUGUAUAGUUUAGGACAGGUGCAAGCGGGUUUGGGACUAAAAGCCUAAUCUCAUUUUUUACCUUUUUCUUUUCUAUGGUUAUUUGCUAUUUGUGCCUUCGAAUUUAGUUAAAUUCCCUACUAAGUCGUCAAAUUGAUUUUACACAAGUUUUGUCCUAAAUCACUUUCUUUCAAAAAUCAAUCUUUUUAAAGUUAGUCAAAGAUAUUUUCAAACAGUCCGGAUAACCGCAAGUUAGAGGACAUUUUAGGUGUCUUAAACCUUCUCAAAACGUUAAUAGGAAUCGCUUACUCAGAAUCUUCAAAUUUAAAUGAUUUUUCUGUUUUGGAUCGUUUAAAGUAUUUCAUAAAGAUUUCUUAAUUCCUUUUCAAAAUUAAGUAGCGACUCUGAAAGGCAAAUUUUCGCAAAACAGUACCUAACUUAGUAAAUUUCAACUCACUGAGUCAUCACUCAAGUCAUCAAACUAAACCACAUUCAAAACAAAAAAAAUUACCUUAAAAGUACCUACACUUUAUCAAUUUCAAGUGAGUAAGUCACCUACCAAGUCACCAAACUUAACUACAUUCAAAACAAAAUUCACCUUUAAAGUUCCUACACUUAGUAAAUUUCAACUCACUAAGUCACCAAACUUAAUUACAUUCAAAACAAAAAUCCACCUUUAAAAUACCUACACUUCAACAUUUUAAAGUCACUAAGUCACCUCCUAAAACAACAAACUAAACUACCUUCAAAAUGAUAAAUUCACAUUUCAAAAAUCUACACUUAAUCAAUUUCAACUCACUAAUUCACCACUCAAGUCAC
rnacentral:lncRNA from 1 species